AUUUAUUUAGGUGUGUGUGAGUAUAUCAAGACUUUUUACGGACUUACAUAUUUAGAUAUUUUAGAGAUUCUGUUAAUUAAAGUAGAAGAGUAGGUGAAUAUUGGUAUGUUGAAAACAUGUGUUAUUUAUACUCAUGAAUAGAAUAAUUAAGUAGUAUAUAAUUGUUGUUGUUCAUCUUGUAUUCCAAACAUACUUAGAACAAAACUUUGAACAUCUUUGUAAGAAAACAAAGUUUAAGAACAUUUUCACAACUAGAAAAUUAAAACUAGUAGCGAAACUAGAAUCAGAAACAGAUUUUUUUAAAAAAAUAUACGAAAUAUUUUUCUUAAAGAGGAAUUGUUGUUAAUAUGUGUCUAAAUAAUCUUACUGAUUCCAACAAACUUUGCAGAAACACGAAGUUACCAAGUUUAAUGAACCAGUGAAGAACAGAAGAAUAGAAGAACUGAAAUUAAUUGACAAAUCUAAAAUUUGUAAAAGACGUACCAGAAUCUGAAAAUUUUUAAUAGGAAAAAGAUCAAGUCCACUGAAUUCACAGUGUCCCCUUAAGGAAAUUAUUAGUUAAACGUGUUGGGAGCCGUGCAUGCAUAUAUAUAUACAUUUCAUGACAUAUAUAAUAAUAAUAAUAAUAUUAUUAUUCAAUCUCACCAUUUAUUUAAUAUAAUAUUACAUGAUAAUUAAGAGGGCACUUCAUUUAUUUAGGUGUGUGUGAGUGAUGAUGGAGUAGUCCUAGGUAAUAGUGACGGUUGCUAGAGAUGUAAGUAUCCCAAAAAUUGCUGCCAAAGUUUGACCAACCACAUUCUCAAGUAAGUUUCCAAUAAGGAUAACAGGAGCUACAAGGGUUCCUGUGGUUGGAGUCAAAGUGCAAUUAGCAAUUGGGAGAGGAAUCCUUGCAAUACAUGUUCCUGACAAAAGACUUGUAUUGGUGGACACUGCAGCAUUAAUAAUGCCUUGACUAUUUGUGGACACUUGAGCAAUCGUUGUGUUGCCACAAAUAAUCGUUACAUUUGCUCCACUCACUCCGACGCCUGGGGCAUUACUUCCCGGUACGGAGCAAGACAAACUCCCCAAUAUACUUAAAUUAACAACACGAUCAACAACAGGUGGUACAAUCGGUGGUACUUGACCACCAACAGGUGGUACAAUCGGUGGUACUUGACCAACAACAGGUGGUACAAUCGGUUGGCCAAGAAUAGGACUAAGAAUGGGACCGACAAUUGGACUGAGAAUAGAACCAACAAUCGGUAAUUGGCCAAGACCAACAGGUGGUACUUGACCAACGGGUGGUACAAUACGUGGUGCAGGUUGCCCCAAAAUGGGACCCAAAAUGGGACGAACAAUGAGACCCAAACCUUGAGCAUGAGCUAGAGGACUGAUGGUGAUGAUGGAAAGUAGAACAACAAGGGAAACAACACACAUUUUUGAAGACAUGAUGAUUUGAUAAUAUUUUUUUCUGUUCAAUAUCCCCUUUUUAUAGUGCUCCUUUUUAUUUACUCCACCCCUACCUUAACUUACCCAACCCCCUAAUUUAUAUAAAUGAUUAAAUAUAUUAUCUUUCAUCCCUAAAUAGCAUUAUUAAAGACUUACAAUAUCUCCCUAUAUCAUCAUUAGUUAGGCUGAAACUCAUCAACUUGAACAACAUUGGGACCAUACAAAUUAAUUAAUUCAAUAUCAUUUUGACUUGUCAUAAGAAGAAAUUUUUUUGUAAGCUGAGGCCAAAAGUAGGGUGGGCAUUCGGUAUUUCGAUUCGGUUUCAGUUUUUUUUCCGAUUUUUUGAUUAUUGUAAAUUGUGUACCGAAUACCGAAUCAAAAUAUUUUGGUUCAGUUUGGUUUUUGUUAAUUCGAUUCGGUUUUUUAUUUCGGUUUUUUAUGUUGAUGGCGCGGCUGCUAGCUGCUGACUGGUUGAAUGUUGAUGGUGCCUGGCAGACGGCGUGGCGGCGCUGCUGCUAGUUGCUUGACAGCGCGGCGGCGCUGCUGCUGUCUGCUUGACGGUGCGGCGGCGCUACUGCUUCUUUUGGCGGCCGGCCGGCGCAGCUGCUACUUCUCGCGGCUGCUGCUGCUUCUUCUGGCGGAUGGCCGGCGCUGCUGCUUCUUCUGGCGGACGGCCGGCGCUUAUGCUGAAUCUGGCUGGAGGAGAAGAAGAAGAAGAAGAGGAAGAAGAGGAGAGGAAGAGGAAAGACCAAGAGGAAAACAAAUCAGUAGAAAGAUGAAAGAGAGAGGAAUAGGGCCCGUAGGGUUUCUUUUUAAAAAAAUUAUUUAAUAUUAAUAAUUAUUAAUUAAUAUAAUAUAAAUUAUAGUAUAUUAUUUCGGUUUAAAUCGAAAUAUCAAAAACUAAAAUAAUACAUACCGAAAAUCGAACCGAAAUACCAAAAAAUAUAAAAAAGUAAAUCGAAAACCGAACUGAAAACCGAAAUAUCGAAACCGAAAUUUUGAAAAAUUUCAAUUUCGUUUGGUGUUUCGGUUUUCCGAUGUUUGCUCACACCUAGCCAAAAGGCCUUUAAUUUGCUCAUAGGAACUAUUUUGAUGGAAUAAAUAACUCCACUUGGUUUGGGUGUCAAAAAAAACAACAAUAAAAAUAACAACAACCAUCGAAGAUUUUUGAAAAUAGUUGUGUGAUUGUUAAUCACUUCAUUUAAAAAAAAAUUAAUGUUAUAUCAUGUUUUUAAUUAUAAUAAACUACACUAUAUAAUAAUAAUAAUAAUAAUAAUAAUAAUAAUAAUAAUAAUAAUAAUCAAGGGCAAAAAGCUAAUCUACUUGGUCAACAUAAAAUGACUUUUAAGUUGAAAAAAAAACACCCCUCACCUAUCUUUUAGAUUUUGGCAUAAAAUAAGUCAUUUUGGACUUAAAAUAAGUCACUUUGAUAAUUGUCAAACACUCAAAUAAAUCAAAAACUGAAUUUUAAAUCAGUUUGACCAGCUUUUAAGCCCAUUCCAAUAGGCUCUAAGUGUGUAAAUAACUUUUCGAUACAAGUUCAAGGUGAAAUUUAUGUCUUUUCCCUUUGAAAUACCUAUCACAAUACUUUAUUUCUCACGCCAUGUAUUCAUGAUAUAAUAAAAAUAUAUAUAUUAAAUAUUGAAUAAGAAAUUUAUGGGUGCCUCGACUAUGUUAAAAAAAGACAUAUGUCUUAGGUCCCCCAAAUUUAAGGGGCCUCAUUUUUAAUAAUAAUAGGUUAUAAGUUAUUAUUUUUUUAACAAAUAUUGAAUACUAUUUAUAGAAAAAGUAAAAUUUUUCAUGAAAAAUAAAGGAAUUAUAGAAGAAAUUUGACAUGUUUGAAGUAAUAUAUCUCAAGAAAAAUAAUUUAAAAUAAGAAUGAUUAUAUUAUCAAUUGAAAACUAGAAGAAAUCAAUUAUAUGAAGUUAUUGACGAUUCAAGUCUAAUGAUCUAUUUAAUUUUUGAUUUAAGCCACUAAUAUACUUAAGUCACUUCUAAAGAAAUUUUGAUAUUUUUUCAAAGAAAGAUGUAACAUAAAAGUUAUAAUAAAAUAUGUCUUUUACUUUAUCAGAAAAUAUCAAGAGAACGUGGGAUGAAUGCAUGAGUUAAUUUGACAAAGUUUUAUCAUUCAUUACAAUAUUAUUAAAAUUAAUAAUCUAUCUUAUUUAAUGGCUCAAUAAGUGAAUGAAAAGACAUGUUAAAACUAAUGUAAUUAAGUAUUUUACUUUUACAAAUUAUGACUUAUUAAAACUAAUGUAAUUAAGUAUUUUACUUUUACAAAUUAUCAAAAAUUUCAAAGGACUAAAUCGUUAUGUCAGAAGUGAUUUUAUUUUCACGGUGUUAAGUGAAAUCGCUAAAUCACUGACCUACCAGCGAUUUUGUUCAUAUUUUUUUCCUAUUUUUUUUAAAGGCAACGAUUUUAGUGGAUUUUUUUCCUUACAUCUCGUAAUUUGAAAUAACUAAGAAAUCAAGAAUAAACAAAAUCGCUUCUGAUAUAGCGAUUUAGUGCUUUUAGUUUUAAAAAACUUAAUGUACCCUUUUGAAAUUUUUAAUGUUUUUUUUAACUCAAAGAAAAUUUUUGUAUGGGUAGUGUUUUUGGAUUUUUUUUUAGAAAAAUAAAAUUGCUUUACUGUCGCAUUUUUAUUUUAAUUGUUUUUAAUAUCGCUGCCUAAAAAGCGAUUUAAGUGGGAAAUUAUUAUACUUUUUGGCAAAUGGUAGCGAUUUGUGUGGAAUAUUUUUUAUUUCUUUCUUUUUAAAAAUCUUGGCAACUCUUUAGUUAAAUAACUUUUAUUAAGAUAUUGCUGGCAAUUAUUUUUUAAAAAUUCGUUUUAAAUGUUGGUAAUCAAUUUUAAAAAAUAAUUAUACAAUUUUUUUAAAAAAAAAAUUGGCACUGAUAUUUUUUUUUAAAAAAGAACUUCCACCAAGCAGCGAUUUUUUAUAUAAAAAUCACGAAAAUAGCUGUCAAGAAUUUUUUUUCCAUUAAAACGCUGUUUUUUUUAAUAUAUAAAUGUUGCAUUGCAGUGAUUUAAAAAAAGAGAAAAUUGUAUAUAAUAUAGUAAACUAAUAAUAUAAAAUAAAAUGAAGCAGCUAGGAUUUGAUUUAAUUGUGCUCCAUAGCAAAUGUUUGCAAAAAAUUGCCAGACACCUCUCUCCCAAAUAUCUCGCUCGCCACUCUCCUCCAAUCUCUCGCUCUCUUCCUCACUUUUUAUACAAACACAAGUGUAUAAAAAUUGUUUCUAAUUGUAUAAAGCAGAAAAAAUUGUAUAAAUACAUAUAUUUUUGUUUCCUUCUCUCCUCUCUUCUAGAUCUCGCUCGCCACUCUCCCAAAUCUCGCUCGCCACCCUCGCCUUUCUCACUUAUAUAAACAGAAACGAAAUGUAUAAAUUGCGUUUCUGUUUGGAUAAAGCGUGAGAAAAUUGUAUAUACACAUGCAAGUACAUAUAUUUUCGUCCUAUACACCCAGUUUCUUUUGCCUUUCUCUCUUUCUCAUUUUAUACAAUUUUCAAAUUGUAUCUAAUUUCUUUCUUCCUCGUUUUAAGUAAAGUUAUCAUUACAUAAAUCAAAUGGAGUGAGCUCAAACUUUAGUUAAUUUUUUUUAAAAAAAAUAUUUUGUUGUUUAACAAUUUUUAAAAUGAAAAUGCUAAACCUUUUUCACAAUUAUGUUUUAUAGUUUUUUUAUCAAUAUCUAGUCGAUGAUAACCAUAAUUUUAAUAUAAAUAAUAUAAUAAGGUAACUUAAUUCUGAAAUUCAAGUAUUGAUAUUUUUGAGAAAAUAUUUAUUUAGAAAUUGUAAAACAUUCAUAAUCUAAUAUUUAAUAUGUUUCUUACUCUCAACGAAUGACACUAAUUCAUCAUGAUUCAAAAUUGUAAGAAGUAAAAAUCAAUACUAAAAAGUGCAACUCAUUAUUAUAUGAAGUUUAAUAUGUAGUUUAUCUAUUGUCGAAAGUUUUCCAAGUAUAUGAUAUAUAAUUCUAUGAUAAAUUAAUUUUUGAUCCCAUAUAUUUAUACUAUUUUCAAAUUUAUACCGUUAAUUGAUUAUAUAUUUUCUUAAACUACAAUUACGCGAUCAUUAUUUAUCAAUUCUACUUUAUCAACUUUAUAUUCUUCUUUUUUAUAUCUUUAGAAUUGUGCUAUUUUUGUUUUCUUAUUUAAGUUACAAUUUUAAAGAUAAAAUAAAUAUUUUUUGGAGAUAAAAUAAGUUAAAUAAAAAACUAUAUGAAUACUUAUGUUGAAAAAAAUUAUAUAUAAUUAAAAAAUUGUCCUAUUUUUAUUUUCUUAUUUAAGUCACAAUUUUUAAAGAUAAGAUAAAUAUUAUUUUGAGAUAAAAUAAGUUAAAUAAACUAUAUGAAUACUUUUGUUUAGAAAACAUUAUAUAUAAUUAAAAAAAUUACAUAUAUGAAAGAUUAUAAAAUUAUACUGGUUAUGUUGUAGUAGUAAUAAACAUAGAUGAACAAUUUGAAUUGUCAAGAGUAUAAAAAUAAAAAUAUUUUUCACAUUAUUAUUAUAUCAAACAAAUACAAAUUGAUUUUCAAAAAGAAUAAUAAAAUGUAUUUGUGGGUCACACAUGAAACAAAAAUUAUGUGAUUCUUGAAAAAAAAUAAUAGAUUCUUCUAGAAAACUAUUUUGACAAUUAAUUAUACAAUUAUAAAUUUAAAACUUUGCCCAUAAAAAUAAUUAAAAUUACAAAAUUGUCAUUGAUUGGCCUCAUCAUGACUCUUAUGUAUAAUAGAAACUAGACAAUUGAAGGCCCGUUCAUGGGCUCAAUAUAAUUAAUUAUUUUUUUCAAUUUUAAGUUAAAAAAAUUAUCCAAAUUAAUAUCUUAUUUUAUCAUAGUUUCUAAAAUUUUCUACUAUUUAAACAAUUACAAAAAUGUCCUCUCAGAUACAUUCUUAUCCUCUGUCGGACACAUCAGUAUCUCCUCUCGAAUACAUUCCUAUCAUUUCUUGAAUACAUCUUUAUCUCAUCCUGAAACAUCCAUAUCCUCUCUUGGAUACAUCUCUCCCCUUUCGGAUACAUUCAUUCUCUCUCGAAUACAUCCCUACCUUCUCGGAAUCAUCGUGAGCUCUAUGUCUGCAAGUUUCCUCAAUAGCAAUGUAUCACGAUCGAUGUAUCCGCAUGUGUUGAUUUAUCUGAAAUUAUUUAAUUUUAAAAAGAUUUCGUAAUUUGAAAAAAGUAGGAAUAUAAUGUAAUUAACUCUUUACUCUAUGACAUAUUUUUCUUUGUAGUCAGUUUCAAAAGAAUGAUGUAUAACAUAUUUAAAUAACAUUUUGACUUUAAAAUAUUCAUUCUAUUCUUAGUAAUAUUAUUUAUAGUCAUAUGAACAUCUAUGGUUUGUUUUAGACCAUGAGUUUUAAAAGUGUUUUUUCUUUUAAAAAAUUUUCGUGUUAAGUUAAAUUAAAAUUUCAUAAACCGAAAGGGAGUGAGUACAAACUUUAGAUCAAUUUUAUAUUUAUAAAAUUAAAGUUUUUGUAACUAUUUUGUCUUUUAACAAAAUUUAAAAUGAAAUAAUUCACAAUUAUUUUUAUAGUAUUUUUUUAAAAUCAAUAUUCUAUCAAUAAUAAUAAAUUUUUUUAAUUUAAAUAAGAUAAUAAAGUAUUUUAAUUUUGAAAUUCAUGUAUUGAUAUCAAUUGAGAAAAUAUUUAAUUUUAAGUUGUAAAACAUUCAUAAUCUAAUAUUUAAUGUGCUCCUUACUCUCGAUGAAUGACACUAAUUUAUAAUAAUUCAAGAUUGCAAGAAGUAGAAAUCGAGACUAAAACGUGCAACUCACUAUUAUAUGAAGGUCACUAUGUAAUUUAUCUAUUGUGGAAGUCUCAUUAGUAUAUGAUAGAUAAUUCUAUGCCAAAUUAAUUUUUGUUUUCAUAUAUUUAUACAAUUUCAAAAUUUAUCCCGUUAAUUGGUUAUGUAUUUUAUUAAACUACAACUGCACUCAUUAUUUUAUCUUUUUUUUUAUUCUUACAUUAUCAACUCUAUUUUUUUAUCUCUUUAGAAUUGUGAUACUUUUGUUUUCUUAUUUAAAUCACAAUGUUUUAAAGAUAAAACAAAUUUUAUUUUGGAGAUUAAAUAAAUAUUAUUUUGAAGAUAAAAUAAAAAAAAGAUUUACUAACCUACAACCAGGAAGAUCCACUUUGAAACCCAGCGACGAAGAAAACUUUGAAACUCUUAGCCGCGAAAUGAGGGUGAAAGAGUAAAAUCAUUUCUGGAAAAUAAUGAAACGAGGGGAAAAAAGCGUAAUAAAGAUUUAAGGAAUUAGUCUAUGUGGUAGUGGACCCUAUUGACAUGCAAUAUGGAAUUCACAUAGCAUUUAACAACUUCUCUUAAUUAGAAGGGCAAUUUUGACCCAAUAGUUUCACGGAAAGGGUACUUUUGAGCCGAAAUAUACUUUAAGGGUAAAUAUGAGUUAUUUCAGAUAGUUUAAGAGUAUUUUUUACCCUUUUACUUUUAGUCUACGUGGUAGUGGAACCCUAUUGACGUGCAAUGUGAUGGCAUUUAACAACUUCCAUUAAUAAGAAUUGCACUUUUGACACAAUAGUUUGACGGGGAGGAGAGUUUUGAGCGGAAAUAUAAUUUAAGGUAAAUAUGAAAUAUUUCAGAUAGUUUAAGGAUAUCUUUGACCCUUUUAUGUUAAAACUAUAUGAAUACUUAUGUCUAAAAAACAUUGUAUAAAAUUAAAAGGAAAUUAAAUCAUGGAAGAUGGUAGGCUAUACUGAAUAUGUUGUAGUAACAACAAACAUAUAUAAACUAUUAAGUUGUAUAAAUAUUUUUUAUUUAUUAUAAUCAAACAAAUAAAAGUUAAUCUUUAAAAAUUAAAUAAAAUGAUUACAUGGAGUCCCAUGAAACAAAACUUUUUGUGACUCUUGAAAAAGAUUAUUGGAUACUUCUAGAAAAUUAUUUUGACCACUGAUUAUGCAAUUAUAAAGUUGUAAUUUUGCCCAUAAAUAAUGUUUAAAAUUACAAUAUUGUCAUUGGUCAUCCUAAUCAUGACUCUUCUAUAUAAUAGAAAUAAUAAUAACUAGAUAUCAGGUGCCCGUGCUAACGCAAACGCAACGUAUGUUAGAUUUUUCUUCUUCCAAUUUAUGUGACAAAAAUGAAAUUUGAAAAAAAUGAACUAAAUUUUUUAUAUGUGUUUUUUUUAAAAAAUAUUUUAAAUUAUUAAUUUAUGUAUCUUUUUUGUCAUUUUCGAAUAAUAUAUGUUACUUUAUCUAUUUUAUUUUAUAUGAUACAAGUGAUUUUAGGAAAGUAAACGAAAUUUCUUAUAUGAUUUUCAUAUAUUUUUAGUUGUCAUUUUACUGCGAUUCAUAGUACUUUUUAGUUAUUACGUUAUUUUCAAACAAUAUAUGCAACUUUUUUUUUGUUUCAAUAAAAAUAAGGGAGUCAACAAAAUUUCAUUAUGUUUUUUCAACUACAUUUUUCUAAAAAUAUUUUAAAUUGUUACAUUGCUUUUUAAAGUUUUUUUAAAUGUAACUUUCAAAUAUGUAACAAAUUAGAAAUUAAAACGAAGAAUUAAAGUUUUCAAAUCAUUAUAUUUCUAUAUUAGAAUAUUAAAACCUUUAAAACUACAUAUAUAUGCAUAAAUUAGUAGAAGGAAGCCUAACAACUUAUUUUUAAAAAAAUAUAUGAGAGCUCAUUUUAAUAGUAAUACAUACAUAUUUCAUUUUUCAAUAUCCGAAUCCCUCCUUUUCGAUUUAUAUAAAUUUAAUUUAAUUUAAUUUUUAUUUUGUUUCAAAAAGAAAAUAACUUCUGAAUUUUAUUUGUUUAUAAAGCAUAUUUAAGAUCACAAAAUCAAAAAAAAAUAUUUCAAUUCACAAAAUUUAAAUAUACAUAUAAAUUUUAAUUUUAAUUUUGAUUGGUUCCACCUAAUAUUAUACUUGAUAUAUAAUUAUUAAGAGCUAAGCGUAAUCAUUAUCUAUUUACUUUCGUAUAAUAAAUAGAUAUCACAAUAACUCUUAAAAAAUGAAGAAAUAACGAAAAUGAGAUAAUACUAAUAAUAAUCACUAAAGAUUUUCUAGAACUAGUUAAAUUUCUUGUUAUCAAUCGUGUUAGUUUUUUGCUUGCAUAAAUUACAUUUUUACCUUCGAUCAUCAUUCACUUCAUAUAUAGAAAGAUGUUUCUAGAAUUAUUUAUUCUUGAUAAAUUAUUGUUAGAAUGAAAUUACAUUUUAUUCUUAGUCGUCUUUAAUACAAAGUAUCAUCCUAUUCAUUUUUUAUUUGUCAAGUUACUUUUUAAGAUCUUUUUCUUUAAUUUCAGUCUAAUAUAUAUUAUUAAUUUAUCACACUUAUUUAUUUUCAAGUAUAUUAUUAGAGUCAAAAUAAAGAUGAAAAUAAUUAAUUCAUGAUAACUUUUUAUAUAAAAAGUAGGCAUAUAUUAUAAGCAUAAUGAAUAGAAAAAAAUAUUAAGAAUUAAUUUAAAGUAAUAGUAAAGUAGAGUAAUUAUAAAAUAGAUAUCACAAUAACUCACAAAAGAAAAGAAAGUGAAGUGAUAACAAAAUAAGUUAAUGGUAAUAAUAAUAACUUAAAAUAUUUCUAGAACUAUUAUUUUUAUUUUUUUUUGUUAUCAUUCUUCAUAGAUUUUUGUUAGCAUGAAAUUAUAUUUUUGCUGUAACGACCUGUUUAGUCGUUUGGAGCAGCAGAGUUAAUUUCUGAAAAUCACUGUCUGGGUCGACGGAUCCCACGACAGACCGUCAUGGGCACGACGGACCGUCGAGGGUGUCUCGUGCCAAAACACUUAGAAUUUAGAAAUUUGGGUACUGAGAUCGACUCUCUGAACUUCACGACGAAAUGGCAGGACGGACCGUUGAGGGCUCGACGGACCGUCACAAAUCCUUCCGCAGAAUUAACUCUCUGAACCUUGUGACGGACGUGCAGGACGGACCGUCACAGUUGUGACGGACCGUCACAGGCUGCGUGACCCUGACUGGGUCGGAUUUCUGUUAAAUAUUUUAAGGGGCGUUUUGGACUAUUCCUACUUAUAAUUAUAAAGUUAGUGGUUUAAUGUUAAUAAUUUAAUUACUUGGGGGUUAAAAGAGAGAACCUUGAAACAAAUAGUGGGAUAUUUUAUCAUCUUUUAUACUUAAUUAUAUGCUAAUUAGGGUAAAAGAAAGAGGGUUUGAAUAAGAAAAAGAAAAAGAACAGAGAGAGAGGGAGAAACGAUCGAUUGAGAGAGAAGAAGAACGCAGCUUUGGGAAAGUAGAUUGCUUGAUCACAAUCCUUCGGUGGAGGUAGGUUAUGGUUUAUGCUAUUCGUAGUAAACUCUUAAUAGCGAAUGAUAUGUAUUGGGUAGUGUUGUAAACCCUUCUAUAUGCUUAAUUGUAUGCUUGCAUGAAUGUGAUUAUAUAAUUGUGAUAAAAUAAGCAUGAUGAAGCUAUUGAAUCCUAAAUCUUGAAAAUCCUAAUCUACUUUGUUAAUGAUGAUGCCUUGGUAUAAAAGAAGGCUUGAUGAACGAAAGUAGUAAGAUUAGGGGAUCGGAGUGUCACGUUCCGACACCAGGAUAGUAUAUGGAUCGGGUGCCACGUUCCGGUACCAGGAUAGUAUAUGAGGAUCGGAGUGUCACGUUCCGACACCAGGAUAGUAUAUGGAUCGGGUGCCACGUUCCGGUACCAGGAUAGUAUAUGAGGAUCGGAGUGCCACGUUCCGGUACAAGGAUAGUAUAUGAGGAUCGGAGUGUCACGUUCCGACACCAGGAUAGUAUAUGGAUCGGGUGCCACGUUCCGGUACCAGGAUAGUAUGAUGAGGAUCGGAGUGUCACGUUCGGACACCAGGAUAGUAUAUGGAUCGGGGUGUCACGUACCGACACGAGAGAAAUAAAGAUAAUGAAUCUUGAAAGAUGUUAAUAUACUCAAUUUAAUGAACCUAAUUCCCAAAUGAGUAUGAUGGGGAGGCGUGAGUCCUCAUUGAUGUGCUUGGUGUUGUGACCAAGAGUUAUGAUAAUUAUAAAUGCCGCAUGUUGAGUAUUGUAGUUGAUUUUAUGAUAUAUCUGAUAUAUACUAUUUUCUAUUUUGAGUUGGCCGAUGAUAUCUACUCAGUACUCGUGUUUUGUACUGACCCCUACUUGUAAUUGUUUUUCUUUGUUAUUUGUGGAGUGCAGCAAACGUACCGUCGUCUUCAACUCAACCGCAACUCUAGCCAGUCUUCAUUACACCGGAUUUCAGGGUGAGCUAACGCUUCUAGCUUGGACUGGAUCUUCUUCUUCAUGUCUUGAUGCCUUGAAGUUCCGGCAUGGACUAGCUUUUUAUUUAUUCUAGCUUUCUAAAUACUCUUAGAAUUAGUAAUUUGAGGAUAGAUGUUCUUGUGAUGAUGACUUCCAGAUUUUGGGAAUAAUAAGUAUUGAGUUUUUAGAAGUUAUUUAACCGAUUUUCAUUAAUGAGUUUAAGUCUUCCGCAUUAUAUUCUGUUUAUUAUGGUUCAAAUGUUGGGGUUUAGAUUGGUUGGUUCGCUCACAUAGGAGGGUAAGUGUGGGUGCCACUCGCGGCCCGCUUUGGGUCGUGACAUUUGCCCUUGAUUAUUAUUCACUUCAUAUAUAGAAAGAUGUUUCUAGUAUUAUCAAUUAUCUUGCUUAAUAGAUUUUUGUUAGCGUGAAAUUACAUUUUUGCCCUUAAUCGUCCUCCCACUUCACUCUUCUAUAUAAUUGAAUAGAAAUACAUUAUAUAAAAUAAAUAUUUAUAAAUGAUUAUAAGUUUUCUAUAUCCUUUUUAUAGUGAUUAAUUUACAAUAGGUAAAUGGAUAUGUAUGGGUAAUAAAAUAUAUAUGAGAAUAGUAAUUUAAUUGUGAUAUAUGGCAAAUUCAUCAAAUAGUCAGUCUCUAAUAAUUUAUAUAUUAGUAGUGAAGUAUAAUGUUAAAUUUUAAACGAGGAUUUACAUAACGUGAGAAAGACUUCUUUUCUUUUUUAUUUUCUCAAGAGAUUUUUACAUUUUAAAAUUAGUUUAUAACUUAACAUUAAAUUACUUUAUAUGUAUUUUACUUAUUCAAACUCUCACAUAAUUACUUGUACAUUUGUUUAUUUAUGGUCUUCAUAUAUAACCCCUAGUAUAGCCUUGCUAAACUAAAUUUUGAAAAUUAUUACUAGUAAGGUGUUUGUUUCCUCACCUCAUAUAUUUACAUCAUAUGCAUAAAAAUUAUGUAAAAUGAAUAACAUAUUUUUUUAUUUAUUUUUAAAGAGACUAGUUAUUUGGGGCCGCUAAAGCCUACUUCAAAAUUAGCAAAUCAAAAGAAAGGAAGUGUACCUAUCAACCAAGUAAAAAUGUCAACUACUUCUAAAAAGUUUGGACAAUUUUUAAGACUAUGAAAAUAUAGAGACAUAGUAAAAUAUUGCGUGAAUCACUUAAUAAAAUCGAAAACAUAAUAUAUUGGAGAUAGUUUUACUAAAAAUAAUUUUACAAUAAAAUUGAAAUGUGUACAUAUUUAUUGAAUUGUGGGUAUAGAGACAAUUUUUAAGCUUUUUUCUGAUUUACAUAUAUUAAAUCGCGAAAGAAGUCAUGUGUUCUUAAUAAAAUAAUCGCUAAUGGCAAUUAUAUUUGCUGCUAAAAUUCUUCCUCUAAAUAACUUAAUUUACACUUUUAGCGUUUAAGACGCAAUGUCCAUCUUAAACUAAUAAAUAUGAGAAAUAAAUAAACUCAAUUGGGGGAUAACAAUUUCUUAAUUAGUAUGUUAUAUAUACAUUAUUUCAAUUAUACUUUCGAGUUUUGAUAUUACGAAAAUAUAAUGUCAAACUUUAAAGACAAGAAUUUACAAAUGAGAACGACUUUUUUUUAAAAUAUAAUGUCAAACUUUAAAGACAAGAAUUUACAAACCAUGAGAACGACUUUUUUUUAUUAUACGUUUUAUUAUAUAUAUAUAUAUAUACAUACACACACACAUAUAUAUACAUAUAUCAUUGACUCUAUAUAUAUAAGAUAGGAAAGAGGUUAAAAUAUAUCAUUGAACUUUCAGAAAAAAACUCAUUUAUUCAUCAGUUAAAAGUUUGGCUCAUUUAUGCCAUUACCGUUUAAAAAAGAUUCAUUCUUGCCAUUAUUUUUUAAUAAUGGUUUCGCAAAACCAUUUUUAAUACGUGACCAAUUAUAAUCGGCUACGUCCUCAAUUUAUUUAAUUAAAAAAUCAUCAUUCUAAAAAAAAUUGAAUUCAUUUUUUUUGAUUUUUUUAUUAAAUAAAUUGAUGACAUGGCUAAUUAGAAUUCAGUGGGAUUUCUUAAAUUUGGGCGGGUCUUUAUUUGAGUGGGGUUUUUAUUUAAUGUUUUCUCAGAAUUGAUUUUUUAUCAAAAAAAAAUAAAAAAUGAUGUGGCCGAAUCAUAACUUGUCACGUGUGAAAAGUGGUUGGGCAAAAUCGCCGUUAAAAACUAAUGGCAUGAAUGAGUCUUUUCCUAAAUGGUAAUAACAUGAACGAGUCAAACUUUUAACGGAUGACAUAAAUGAGUCUUUUCUAAAAGUUCAACGGCAUAUUUGAGCUUUUUCCCUUAUUAAAAAAGUGGCUUACAUACACUCAUAUUAUUACAUAAAUAUUCUAAAAUAUACCAUUUUGUUCUAACGGGAGUGAAAACAAAUAUUUUUUUAAACAUAAUUUUUUAUUUUUAAGAAGUAAAAUCUGAAUAUAUUAUCUUCCACUUUCCUAGAAAAUAUUAUCCUACAAGAUUUUUUAUUUUUAAAAUUAAAAUUAAUAUUUUCACUUCCAUUAGAUGAUGAAGAUAUACCUGAAUCACUUUUAUAAUGGUAAGGAUAUGUAUGAACUCUUUUAAUUCAAAUGUGAAUUAUUUUAUAAUGAGCGAUAUAACAAUUUUAAAUUGCAAAGUUAUGAAGACCUUUUUAUUUAGGGAAAAGGGUCUGAUAUACCCCUCAACUUUGUCAUUUAGAGCUGAUAUGCCCCUUGUUGUGAAAGUGGCUCAUAUAUACCCUUACUUGUAAACAAAUGGCUCACAUAUACCCUUUUCCUCUAACGGAAAUGGAAAAAAAAAUAAUUUUAAUCUAAUUUUUUAAUAUUUUUUGUCUAAAAAUUAUAAUCCCAUAUGAGUAAAUUUAAUCCUCGUAAAACAUAUUUUUUUUAACCUUUUUUAGUUUCAAUGACUAAUUUAUAAUUAUUAUUUUGAUAAUCAAAUUUAUUUAUGUUUCACUAAUAUUCUUGUAAAACUUAUUGUAGAUAACCAAAUUUUUUCUUCGAAUAUGAAAUUAAAUUACAAUACACACAAAAAAUAGUUUAAAUUUUUUCUCUUUAAACUAAGGAUUGAAAGAAAAAACAUAAGAAUAAGAAACUCAAAUAAUUAUAAUAAAAAAAGUCAAAAAAUAAUUUAUAUAUGAAAAAAAUCAAAAUAUACCUUGAACUUUGAUAGAAGAAUCAUAUAUAUCCCUAAAUAAUUUUUUUAAAAAAUUACAAGUAAUAAAUAUCAAUUUAAAACUAAUUUUUUAACUUCCGUUAAAUGAAGGGUAUAUAUGAGCCAUUUUGUAACGGGAGGGGUAUAUGUGAGCCGUUUGUAUAACGGUAAGGGCAUAUAUGAGCCACUUUUAUAACGGGGGGUAUAUUAGCUCCAAAUAACAAAGUUGAGGAGUAUAUCAGACUCUUUUUCCUUUUAUUUAUUGUAUAAAAGCAUUUCAUAUACUAGUUACAUAUUUAAAUAUUGAAAAUGUUGAUAAGAGAUCCCAUUAAAUGCUAAAGUAUUGGUAUUUUAAAAAAAUUUCCUUUUAUUUAUUGUAUAUAUCUAACAUCUCGUAACUUCAAAUAACUAAGAAUAAACUAAGAAAUCAAGAAUAAUCAUUUUUGGAAAUAAAUAGGAAAUCUGAAAAAUUUCCCAAGUGUAAAAGUGAGUUUUUGGUCAAUUUCAAACGACCAUAACUCCCAGCUUAGGAGGAGUUAGUGUGAGUUCCUUAUAUGGUUGGAAAUCCCUUGGAAAGAAAUUUCCAACAACGCCAAGUUUGUACAUUUUAGAUGUCGUAUGAAGGAGAUAUGACUUUCGAAAGUUUGGUUGUUGGAGUGAGGAAAAUUCAAUCCGGAUUUAGUAAGGAUAAAGUAGUCUUUUCACCCUAGUAUUUUCUAAUUCGUUUUAAGGGUUUAUUAGGGGUAAAAUCAAGUCCAUAUUCAGUUUUGAAAAAGUUGAGAACGCUCAUGGCUUGGGAGAAAAGAGAAGAGAAAACCAAAAUUUCUUCAAGAACGCUAAGGUUUCGCUAGAGGAAUUCAUCGGGGGUGAUCUCUAUCGAGGUAUAUGAGAUCUUUCUAUGUUGGGUUCGUUCACCCACACACCAACAUGUUUAUUUAGCAAUUUUUGUAUUGAUUGAAUAAUGAAUCUUGAAGUUCUUGAUGAGCAAUUGUUGAAUCCUUAUUGGUAGAGUUGUAGUGUACCUUUAGUUGGUGUUGAUUCGUAUUUUCAGGCUGUUUUACGAGUCUAAACUAUUGGGUAUUGAGUAUAUUAGUGAUUGAUACGCUCAAACUUACUUUUUAAAUAAGAAGUAAAGCAGUAAAUGGGGGUUUCUAUUCCUAAAUAAAUGAAAAUAACUAGCGAAAUUAAAGGAGACAACUAACAACUUCGAAUGUUGGAGUUUAAUCACUUAAUCAAAGUAACUAGGGUUUACGUGUUCCCCACAGGUUCAUAACUUGAUAAUUCUAACUAUAACAAUUCUUUCCUAGUAUCUUGCAUGCAAAGUGAUAAGUUAUGUAUUUCUAAAUCCUUGGUCCGGCAUCUAGAAAAUUUCACUCGGCACCUUGGUCCGACUACGUGUGUUGCUAUACUAACCCUUAUAUUUACCUCAUAUUAAGCAUCGUAUUCGAUAUUUGACUAAGUUAUUACCCCGUACCAAUCAAUACUAGCCUAUUAGAUAGUAUACACUAAAUUUAUAUUGAUAAUUCUUUUCCUAUUAUCUUCCUCCUUGGUCCGACAAGUAGCAUUAAGGCGAGUUCUAACGUUGGCCAUCCGUUAAAAAGACUUCCAAGCGAAAGAAUUAUCAAUACAUGCAAGACACUAUUCUAGAAUUGUUAUUUUAGUUAGAUUUUACCUCAUUAUUCGCCUAUGGUUCCCACAACCCUAAUUAUGGAGUUUAGUUACCCAUAAUCAUAAUCACAAUAUUCAAAUAUAUGAUAUAAGAAUUCAUGCACUUACUUCAAUGAGAAAGAGUAAAAUCCAAAAGUUAGCUUGAUUAAUCAACAAUCAAUUACAAGAAUAUCAAAAUAAUCAAGAAUCUCACAAAAAGUCUAAAAAAUAAUCAAGAGUCUAACAAUAAUCAAGGGCCUAACCAAAUAAUCCAGAGUCUAACCUCAAAAACGAGGUUUUUCAAACUAUUUAUAAAAAAUAAAAACCUAAUUACAUAAGGACUCUAUUUGCUGGAAAUCUGUCAAAACGCGGCUGGGUCAACGGACCUCGCGACGCAUCGUCGUGGUCACGACGGACCGUCAUGGACACGACGGACCGUCAUGGACUCCGUCGUCCCAUACUUGAUGCAAUUUCUUAUGCUGCUCUCUUCAUUACUCUCGACAGCAGGUAUGAUGGAUCGUUACAGGCACAACGAUCCGUCGAGGGUCUCCGUUCCAAAACACUUGAACUCUUGGAAUAUGGGUACUGGGACUACUUCUCUGAACUUCAUGACGAACCUGCAGGACGGACCGUCAUGGAUACGACGGUCCGUCACGCAUUUUGUAACCCCACACUUGGUCAGACUUCCCCAUUUUCCUUCAGCAGCUGCACUACGUUGCCACCUACGGACCGUCACGAGCAUGACGGACCGUCACAAGCAUGACGGACCGUCACAAGCAUGACGGACCGUCACAAGCAUGACGGACCGUCACAAGCUCCGUAGGUGGUCUCUUCUGCAUUUCUUUGCUCAAAAACCUCCGCAUUCAUCUUUGGAUAGAUUUCCUGCAAAUAAGGAGAAACUUAUAUAAAAAUUAGCACAAAAAGAUUUUGGACACACUAACUUAAGGAAAAAAUAUUAAUAAUACCGUGACACCAUAGUAUAUCAGUGAUCCUAAGUGUUUGGGAAAAAUCCAUGAAUGUUUUGAAGGUUUAGAGUUGAAAAUCGGAGAAGAAAAGUCAGAAAACUCGUCUGACAGGUCUUGUGGCACCGUGCCUACAAGAGCCCCUCAGGACAGACUCUUUCUGUCAGGCUCUGGCGCGCCGCCGUGCCAGCUAGAGCGCCUGAAGACAGUGUCUGUCGGUCAGGCGCUGGUGCCCCGCGCCUCUCAGAGCGCCAGGGUCACCUGGAGAUUCUAUUUCUCUCCCAUCUUUUCGUACGAGUUCCUAAGUGACGUAUCUAUUAUUUCUAGUUAGUUCCAAUACUCUAAAGUAAAUAUAAACAUUAUGAAAUCAUCCAUAAUAAUGAGAUCAGGAUCCGUGAAUGCAUAAUCCAAUUCAAGGGAAGUUAAGAUCAAAGUCAAAAAAAGUUAAGAGUCAAGUCUAAAAGUUAAAAAACAAGUCAAAGUAAGUUCCUAAAGCAUUCAAGAGUCUUAAACAAACAUUUUAACUUUGUUUUAAGGUUCAAGCAAUGAGUUGAGCAAAGAGUAAAAGAGUUGAGUUAAAUUUUCAAAAGCUAUAAGGGAACUAAGUAUUCCCUAAGAGUUAAGUUUCAAGUUAAGCAAAUAGUAACAAGUUGAGUUCACUUCUCAAGAGUUAGAAGGGAACUAAGUAGUCUCUAACAGUUUAAACAAGAUGUUUUUAAACUUUUGAGAAAGAAAGGAAGCUAGACUUCCACAGAGCCUAUGACUAGUUUUAGUAAAAGAAAAAGGAAACUAUGAUUUCUAAGAAAGUUUUUGAAGCAAAGUUUGAGAAAUUAUCUCAAACUAGAGAAGAAGUUGUUUUAAAAAAACAUAUGAGCUAAGUAUUUUGGGAGUAGUAUUGAGCACCGAUAUGGUGACGCGAGUUCAUAUUAACUCAAGUCUCCAUAAACCAUUGAGCCAACAUGGAGAUAUAAAAGAUCAUACUUUUUAGAUGAUUCCUUAGUAAUUUUAGCAUAGACUAGUGAAUCCUCUUAGUAGUUCAGGUUCUAUAUCGACGACAAGGUAUAGAGUGGUCCUCUUGCAACAUGAGGUAAUACGUUGUACCAUCACUUAGGCUCAUAGAUGGUUGUCGGUUAGAUAAUCUCUCAAAGAAAUUAUAAUACUUUCAAAUAUAUGAGUAAAGUUGAGUUUAUUAUUGAUUUAUCUUUAAUGAACUAAGUGUUUACACUGUUUUACAAGCUUUUCUUAUAUCGCAUGUGUCCUUACUGCUUUAUAUUGAGUCGUUAUUAAUGAGUUGAGCAGAACCAAGGUAAGUUCUUCCUUACUCCUUUCAAGCCUUAUAGUAGUGUUUAGUAUUCCAAUUCGCAUACUCGUUUGGCCUGCAUGCAUCGUCUUAUAAUGCAGAAGCAGGUAAUUAGGAUCAACAUGCAGCACUUUGUUGAACCAGUUUGAGCUCUAGAGUCAGUGGUGAGCCUCCAUGCAUUUCGGAGGAUCCUUUUAUUGCUAUCUAGUUAGUUCAAUAGAAUGUUGUGGGGUUUGUCCCAACAUUCAUCUCAGUCAGUUUAGAGGUUUCAUAGACGGAUAGUAGUAGUUAAGUUGUGUCUCUUUAUUUCAGAUUCUAUAUUUGAGACUUAAGUGCAAAUUUGGCCAAGACAGUAUUUAAAGUCAUUUUUAUGAGAACUUCUUCAAUUCUAUAACUGAAUUAAGUUGAGUCUUCCGCUGAGUUAAGUAAGUCAGACCAAGAGUUCCCUUGAGGCCAGCAAUGGUCACCAAGUGCUAGUCCCACCCAGGGUAUAAGCUCGGAGCAUGCUAAUAUAUGCAUUUCAUAUACGACUUACGUAUUCAGAUACUUUUAACAUUUUGUUAGAGCAGAAGAGUCUUAACUUAUAUAUGUAGGUGAAGUAUUGAUAUAUUGGGAUAUUGGUACUUAUUAUUAUUUUACUUUAAUACUUAUUUAUAAGUCUACAACACACGGUAAGCACACACAAGGUGCUCAACAUGUGUGCUUGAAGUAAAUUUAAUUUUGAAUGAGGUUAAUUUGGUCAUUUUAUAUAAUACUCAAUGUUUCUUUUACUUGUACAAAAUGCAAAAUUGCUUUUAUGGACAUCAAAUGACCAAAAACCCAGUAUCCUUUAACUCAUUGUCAUAUGUUAUAGAACAUUGCAAUUGGUUGAAAAUGAACUUUAAUGUAGUUGCAAUAUAAUUAUUUUUACUUCUUGUCAAAACUGCCCCUAUGCGGCUUAAGCUUAUUUUAUCAACUAUUUGUUAUUACGUGGAGAAAUUAAAGACAUCUUUAGAUGAGUCCUUUUAAGCGGUACCGACCUAGAUAUAUAUAUUCUUUUCGUUUUAUUUAUGUCAUUUUUACUAAAAAUAGGUAAUAUUUAAUAUUUAUCAUUUCACAAAAGUAAUGCAUUAUAUAGUAAUGAAAUCGACUCUCUGAACUCUGUGACGGACCGUCACAGGUACGACGAACCGUCGUGAGCCCCGUUUCAAAACACUUCAACUCUUGAGAAUUUGGUACAGGGAACGAUUCUCUGAACGUCAUGACGGAGGUGCAGGACGGACCGUCGUAGGUACGAUGGGCGUCACAGACUCCUUAAGGAAAUCGAGUCUUUGACGAACCUGCAUGACGGACCGUCGCAGGCACGACGGGCCGUCGCAGGUUGCGCAAUCCCAGUCUAGGUCAGAUUUCUUUACACAUUUUAAGGGACGUUUUUGACUAUUCCUUCUUUAAUUAUAAAGUUAGUGGGUUAAUGUUAAUAAGUCUAAUUACUUGGGGGUUAAAGAGGUAACCUCAAGUUAAUUAGUGGGUUAUUAUUGCCAUCUUUCAUUCUUAAUUAUAUACUAAUUAGGGUAAAAGAAAGAGGGUUUGAAUAAAGAAAAUAGAAAGAACACAAAGAGAGAGAGGGAGAAUCGAACGAGAAGGUGAAAAGAAGAGGAGAAACACAAAGCUUUGGGAAAUUGCUUGCUUGAUUUCUUGUCUUCGGUGGAGGUAGGUUUUGGUUUUCAUGCUAUUCGUAGUAAACUCUUAAUAGCGAAUGAUAUGUGUUAGUAGUAUUGUAAACCCUUCUAUAUGCUUAAUUGUAUGCUUGCAUGAAUGAUGUGAUUAUGGAAUUAUGAAUAAAUAAGCAUGAUGAAGUUAUUGAAUCCCAAAUCUUGAAAAGAAACCUAAUCUACUUUGUUAAUGAUGAUGCCUUGGUAUAAAAGAAGGCUUGAUGAACGAAAGGGGUGAGAUUAGGGGAUCGAGUGCCACAUUCUGGUACCAGUAUAGAGAUAGAGGAUCGGGUGCCACGUUCCGGUACCAGGAUAGAAUGAGGAUCGAAGUGUCACGUUCCGACACCAGGAUAGUAUAUGGAUCGGGUGCCACGUUCCGGUACCAGGAUAGAAUGAGGAUCGGAGUGUCACGUUCCGACACCAGGAUAGUAUAUGGAUCGGGUGCCACGUUCCGGUACCAGGAUAGAAUGAGGAUCGGAGUGUCACGUUCCGACACCAGGAUAGUAUAUGGAUCGGAGUGUCACGUACCGACACGAGGGGAAUAAAUAUAAUGAAUCUUGUAAGAUGCUAAUAUACUCAAUUUAAUGAAACUAAUUCCCAAAUGAGUAUGAUAUUGAGGCUUGAGUCCUCACGUGUGAACUUGACGGUAUUUGUUAAUGAUAUAGUACUUGUUGUUGCUACAUGUUGAGUAUCAUAGUUGAUUUUAUGAUAUUGCUUAAUAUAUAUUGUUUUCUAAUUUCGAGUUGACCGAUGAUAUCUACUCAGUACCCGUGUUUUGUACUGACCCCUACUUUUGUGUUUUCUUCUUUGUUAUUUGUGGAGUGCAGCAAACAUGCCGUCGUCUUCGACUCAACAGUAUUCAAGCCAGUCUUUACUACACCGGAAAUUCAGGGUGAGCUAAUGCUUCUAGCUUGGACUGGAUCUUCUUCUUCAAGUCUUGAUGCCUUGAACUUCCGGCAUGGACUAGCUUCUUAUGUAUUUUUAGCUUCUUAGACAUUUUUAGUUAGUAAUUUGAUCAUAGAUGUUCUUGUGAUGAUGACUUCCAGAUUUUGGGGAAUAAUAGUUAUUGAAUUGGUUUUUAUUUAAUGAGCUUAAGUCUUCCGCAUUAUUUUCUAUUGAUAUACGUUGAAAUGAUAAGGUUUAGAUUGGUUGGUUCGCUCACAUAGGAGGGUAAAUGUGGGUGCCAGUCGCGGCUCGGUUUUGGGUCGUGACAAACCUUGUAUCAGAGCAUUAGGUUCGUUGGUCUCAUCACACAAGAACGAGUCUAGUAGAGUCUUAAGGAACGGUAGGGGGGCGCCUUUACUUUUCUUUGAGGGGCUAUAAGACUUUAGGAAAUUCCAUUCUUUCUUAUCUCUUUCGUGAUACUACUUGAAUCCAAUUGGUAUCUAGGUGAUUCAAAUUGGUAUCUGACCAUCUUCACUCUAUUUCGCAGAUGGUUAGAACUAGAUCAACGACUGCGCCAACACCAACACCGGCAAGACAAGAAACGUCUGAGCCAGCCACUGGGGCUGUGGCUCAAGGAAGAGCAAUAGCAAGAGGUCGUGGUAGAGUUCGUGGGAGGACGUCCUCUAGAGGGAGAGGACGAGUACCUAGCCCAUCUGAUGCUAGGGCGGUGACUCCUCCACCGACUGAGGAAGUAGUAAGAGAGGGUGAGGAAGGGGAGAAUGAACAAGUGCAAAAUGAUGAAUUGCCACCCCAACCUACCCCAGAGAUGAUCAAUCAGGUUCUCGCUUAUCUUAGUGGGUUAUCUGAUUAGGGCCAGACACCUCCAGUGUUUUCUGCACCAGUACCUCAGGUUCCGGAGGUACAACAUGCGGCUACUAUGGCUCCUCGUAUGGAUGCCUCAUUGGACAUAGGCACGUUUCCACGUCUGACUACUGGGCCUAUAAUGACAAAUGAUCAGCAUGAACUUUUCAGUAAGUUCUUGAAAUUGAAACCCCAGUCUUCAAGGGUGCUGAAUCUGAGAAUGCUUACGAUUUUCUGGUUGACUGUCAUGAGCUACUACACAAGAUGGGUAUAGUAGAACGGUUUGGUGUUGAGUUCGUGAGUUAUCAGUUUCAAGGGAACGCCAAAAUGUGGUGGCGGUCACAUGUUGAGUGUCAACCAACAGAGGCACCACCUAUGACUUGGGCCUCAUUCUCUAGCUUGUUUUGGAGAAGUGUGUCAACCAACAGAGGCACCACUAUGACUUGGGCCUCAUUCUCUAGCUUGUUUAUGGAGAAGUAUAUCCCCCAGACUUUGAGGGAUAGGAAAAGGGAUGAGUUCUUGAGCCUAGAUCAAGGUAGGAUGUCGGUUAAUGCAUAUGAGGCUAGGUUUCGCGCACUAUCCAGGUAUGCCACUCAACUUUGUUUCAGUCUACAAGAGCGGAUUCGCCGGUUUGUGAAGGGGUUGAGGUCAGAGUUGCGGAUUUCGGCCUUACAGGUAGCGGCUACGGCAAAAUCCUUCCUAGAAGUGGUAGACUUCGUGAUAGAGGUGGAAGGAGUGAAGCCCAAUGACUUCACCUCGACAUCGACAUCAAAAAGGUUUCGAAAGGGAGGUGAGUUUAAUGGUUCUUACCCUAGGGGAUAGGGUUUCGGAGGUUACUCAGUCCGACCGAUUCAGUCUUCACUACAGACUGUAGUUGGGGGUCCACCUCAGCCGGUCAAAACUUCCUGAGGAGACCUAUGCAUGAACCAAGAAAGUGCUAUGGAUGUGGGUUUCAAUUUUGGAGAUUAAAUAAAUAUUAAUUUUGAAGAUAAAUAAAAAAAAGAUUUACUAACCUACACCAGGCGAAGAUCCCACUUUGAAACCCGCGACGAAGAAAACUUUUGAAAACUCUUACCGCGAUGAGGGUGAAAGAGUAAAAUCAUUUUCUGGAAAAUAAUGAAAACGAGGGGAAAAGCGUAAUAAGAUUUAAGGCAAUUUAGUCUAUGUGGUAGUGCCCUAUUGACAGCAAUAUGGAAUUCAACAUAGCGAAUUUAACAACUUCUCUUAUUAGAAGGGCAUUUUGACACAAUAGUUUCACGGAAGGGUACUUUUUGAGCCGAAAUAUACUUUUAAGGGUAAAUAUGAGUUAUUUUCAGAUAUUUAAGAGUAUUUUUUACUCCUUUUACCUUUUAGUCUACGUGGUAGUGGACCCUAUUGACCGUGCAAUGUGAUGGCAUUUUACAAUUCAUUACAGAAUUGCACUUUUUGACACAAUAGUUUUGACGGGGAGGAGAGUUUUUUGAGCGGAAAUAUAAUUUAAAGGUAAAUAUGAAUAUUUCAGAUAGUUUAAGGAUUCUUUGAGACCCUUUUAUGUUUAAAACUAUAAUGAAUCUUAAUGUCAAAAAACAUUGUAUAAAAUUAAAGGAAAUUAAAAUUCAUGGACAGAUGGUAGGCUAUACUGAAUAUGUUGUAGUAAACAAACAUAUAUAAAACUAUUAAGUUGUAUAAUAUUUUUUAUUUAUUAUAAUCAAACAAAUAAAGUUAUCUUUAAAAUUAAAAUAAAAUGAUUACAUGGAGUCCCAUGAAACAAAAUUUUUGUGACUCUUGAAAAAGAUUACUGGAUACUUCUAGAAAAUAUUUUGACCACUGAUUAUGCAAUUAAUAAAGUUGUAAUUUUGCCCAUAAUAUGUUUAAAUUACAAUAUUGUCAUUGUCCAUCCUAAUCAUGGAAUCUUCUAUAUAAUAGAAAUAUAAUAACUAGAUUCAAGGGUGCCCGUGCUAACGCCAACGCAACGUAUGUUGAUUUUUCUCUUCCAAUUUUAUGUGACAAAAAUGAAUUUGAAAAAAUGAACUAAAUUUUUUAUAUGUGUUUUUUUUUAAAAAAUAUUUUAAAUUAUUAAUUUAUGUACUCUUUUUUGUUGUCAUUUUUGAAUAUAUCUGUUACUUUAUCUAUUUUAUUUUUUAUGAAAUACAGUGAUUUUAGGAAAGUAAACGAAAUUUCUUAUAUGAUUUUCAAUAUAUUUUUAGUUUGUCCAUUUUACUGCGAUUCAUAGUUACUUUUAGUUAUUCACGUUAUUUUCAAACAAUAUAUGCCAAGCUUUUUUUUUGUUUCAAUAAAAAUAAGGGAGUUUCAACAAAAUUUCAUUAUCGGGUUUUACUCAUUUUUUCUAAAAAUUAUUUUAUUGUUCAUUGCUUUUUAAAGUUUUUUUUAAUGUAACUUUCAAAUAUGUAACAAUUUAGAAAUUAAACGAAGAUUAAAGUUUUCAAUCAUUAUAUUUCUAUAAUUAAGAAAAUUAAAUCGCUUUUAAAACUACAUAUAUAUUGCAUAAAUUAGUAAGAAGGAAGCCAACAACUUAUUUUUUAAAAAAAUAUUGAGAGCUCAUUUUUAAAUAGUAAUACAUAAUAUUUCAUUUUUCAUCAUCGAAUCCCUGCUUUUCGGAUUUUAUAUAAAUUAUAAUUUAAUUUAAUUAUUUUUAUUUGUUCAAAAAGAAAAUAACUUCUGAAUUUUAUUUGUUUAUAAAGAUAUUUAAGAUCACAAAAUCAAAAAAAAAAUAUUUCAAUUCACAAAAUUUAAAAAUAUACAUAUAAAUUUUAAUUUUAAUAUUUGAUUGGGUUCACCUAAAUAUUAUACUUGAUAUAUAAUUAUUAAGAGCUAAGCGUAUCAUUAAUCUAUUUACUUUCGUAUAAUAAAUAGAUAUAGCAAUAACUCUUAAAAAAUGAGAAAUAAAAACGAAAUGAGAUAUACUAAUAAUAAUCACUAAAGAUUUUCUAGAACUAGUUUAAAUUUCUUGUUAUCAAUCGUGUUAGUUUUUUUGCUUGCAUAAAUUUCAUUUUUACUUCGAUCAUCAUUCACUUCAAUAUAUAGAAUAAUGUUUCUAGAAUUAUUUAUUCUUGAUAAAUUAAUUGUUAGAAUGAAUUACACAUUUUAUCUUAGUCGUCUUAUACAAAGUAUCACCUAUUUUUUUUAUUUGUCAAGUUACUUUUUAAGAUUUUUUAUUUAUUUCAGUCUACUAUAUAUUAUUAAUUUAUCACACUUUAUUUAUUUUCAAGUUAUUAUAGAGUCAAAAUAAAGAUUGGAAAAUAAUUAAUUCAUGAUACUUUUUAUAUAAAAAGUAGGCAUAUAUUAUAAGCAUAAUGAAUAGAAAAAAAUAUUAAGAAUUAAUUAUUAAGUAAUAGUAAAGUAGCAGUAAUUAUAAAUAGAUAUAACAAUCUCACAAAAGAAAAGAAGUGAAGUGAUAACAAAAUAAGUUAAUGGUAAUAAUAAUACUUAAAAUAUUCUAGAACUAUUAUUUUUUUUUUUUUUUGUUAUCAUUCUUCAUAGAUUUUUUUUGUUAGCCAUGUGAAUUAUAUUUUGCCUGUAACGACCUGUUUAGUCGUUUGGAGCAGCAGAGUUAAUUUCCUGAAAAUCACUCGUUGGGUCGAUCGGAUCCACGACGAAACCGUUUCAAAAAAUGGGCCCAAAAAAAAAACGAACCGGACGUCGAGGGUGUCUCGUGCCAAAACACUUAGAAUUUAGAAAUUUGGUACUGAGAUCGACCUCUGAACUUCACGACGAAAUGGAGGACGGAACCGUUGAGGGGCUCGACGGACGUCAAAAUCCUUACCGCAGAAUUAACUCUCUGAACCUUGUGCACGGAACGUGCGGACGGACCGUCAAGUUGUGACGGACCGUCACAGGCUGCGUGACCUGACUGGUCCGGAUUUUCUGUUAAUAUUUUAGGGCGCGAUUUUGGACUAUUCUACUUUUAUACACUUAUCAAGUUUAGUGGUUUAAUGGUUAAUAAUUUAAUUACUUGGGGUUUAAAGAGAGAACCUUGGAACAAAUAGUGGGAUAUUUUAUCAUCUUUUUAUACUUAAUUUAUAUGCUAAUUGGUAAAAGAAAGAGGGUUUGAAUAAAAAAGAAAAAAGAGCAGAGAGAGGGGAGAACGAUCGAUUGAGAGAGAAGAAGAACGCAGCUUUGGGAAAGUAGAUUGCUUGAUCACAAUCCUUCGGUGGAGGUAGGUUAAUGGUUUACUUGCUAUUCGUAGUAAACCUUAAUUAGCGAAUGAUAUGUUUUGGGUAUGUUGUAAACCCUUUAUAUGCUUAUUGUAUGCUUUGCAGAAGUGAUUAUUAUUGUGAUAAAUAAGCAUGAUGAAGCCUUUGAUCCUAAAUCUUGAAAAUCCUAAUCUACUUUGUUAAUGAUGAUGCUUUGGUAUAAAGAAGGCUUGAUGAACGAAAGUAGUAAAGAUUAGGGGAUCGGAGUGUCACGUUCCGACACCCAGGAUAGUAUAUGCGAUCGGGUUGCCAACGUUCCGGUACCAGGAUAGUAUAAUGAGGAUCGGAGUGUCACGUCGACACCAGGAUAGUAUAAGUGGAUCGGGUGCCACGUUCCGGUCCAGGAUAGUAAUAAUGAGGAUCGGAGUGCCACGUUCCGGUACAAGGAUAUUAUAUGAGGUCGGAUGUCACGUUCCCGACACCAGGAUAGUAUAGUGGAUUCGGGUGCCACGUUCCGGUACCAGGAUCAGUAUGGAUGAAGGAUCGGAGUGUCACGUUCGACACCAGGAAUAGUAUAUGGAUCGGGGUGCUCAGUACCAGACACGAGAGAAAUAAAGAAUAAUGAUCUUGAAAGAUGUUUAAUUAACUCAAUUUAAAUGAACGCUAAUUCCAAAUGAGUAUAGAGGGGAGGCAGUGAGUCCUCAUUGAUUGUGGCUUGGUGUUGUUGACCAAGAGUUAUGAUAAUUAUAAAUGCGCAUGUUGAGUAUUGUAGUUGAUUUUAGAUAUAUCUGAUAUAUAUCUGUUUUCUAUUUUUGAGUUGGCCGAUGAUAUCUACUCAGUCUCGUAGUUUUUGUACUGACGCCCUACUUGUAAUUGUUUUUGUCUUUGUUAUUUGUGGAGUGCAGCAAACGUACGUCGUCUUCAAUCAACGCAAACUCUAAGCCCGUCUUCAAUUACAACCGGAUUUCAGGGUGAGCUAACGUUCCUAGCUUGGACUGGAUCUUUUCUUCAUGUCUUGAUGCCUUGAAGUUCCGGAAUGGACUAGUUUUUUUAUUUAUUCUAUAGCUUUUCUAAAUACUCUUAGAAUUCAGUAAUUUGAGGAUAGACUUGUUCUUGUGAUGAUGACUUCCAGAUUUUGGGAAUAAUAAGUAUUAGAGUUUUUAGACGUUUAUUACAUUCAACAAGAUUAUAUACAUAUAUAAGAAGAUUUAGUCUUUCCGCAUUAUAAUUCUGUUUAUUAUGGUUCAAAUGUUGGGGUUUAGAUUGGUUGGUUUCGCUCACAUAGGGGGUAGUGUGGGUGCCACUCGGGUCCCGCUUUGGUCGUGACAUUUGCCCUUGAUCUAUUAUUCACUUUACAUAUAUAGAAGAUGUUUCUAGUAUUAUAUCAAUUAUCUUUGCUUAUAGAUUUUUGUUAGCGUGUGAAAUUAAUUUUGGACCUUAAUCGUCCUCCACUUCACUCUUCUAUAUAAUUGAAUAGAAAUAACAUUAUAUAAAAUAAAUAUUUAUAAAUGUUAUAAGUUUUCUAUAUCCUUUUUUUAUAGUGAUUAAUUAACAAAUAGGUAAAUCGGAUAUGUUCGGGUAAAAUAAAUAUAUAUGAGAAUGUAUUUAUUGUGAUAUAUGGCAAUUCAUCAAUAGUCAGUCUCUAAUAAUUUAUAUAUUAGUAGUGAAGUAUAUGUUAAAUUUUAAAACGAGGAUUUUACAUAAGUGGAGAAGACUUCUUUUCUUUUUUAUUUUCUCACGAGAUUUUACAUUUUAAAAUUAGUUUAUAACUUAACAUUAAAUUACUUUAUAUGUAUUUUACUUAUUCAAACUCUCACUAUCAAUAUUGUACAUUUGUUUAUUUUUGGUCUUCAUAUUAACCCUAGUAUAGCCUUGCUAAACUAAAUUUUGAAAAUUAUUAUAGUAAGGUGUUUGUUUCCUCACCUCAUAUAUUUACAUCAUAUGCAUAAAAAUUAUGUUAAAUGAAUCAACAAUAUUUUUUUUAUUUAUUUUUAAGAGAGCUAGUUAUUUGGGGCCGCUAAAGCCUACUUCAAAAUUAGGCAAAUCAAAAGAAGGAAGUGUACUAUCAACAAGUAAAAAUGUCAACCUACUCUAAAAAGUUUGGACAAUUUUUAAAGAUAACUGAAAUACUAGAGACAUUAGUAAAUAUUGCGUGAAUCACUUAAUAAAUCGAAAAACAUAAUAUUUUGGAGAUAGUUUUACUAAAAUAUUUUUAACAAUAAACUUGAAUGUUGUACAUAUUUAUUGAAUUGUGGGUAUAGAGACAAUUUUUAGCUUUUUUUCUGAUUUAACAAUAUAUUAAUCGCGAAAGAAGUCAUGUGUUCUUAAUAAAUAAUCGCUAAUGGCAAUUAUUUGCUGCUAAAAAUUCUUCCUCUAAUAAACUUAUUUACACUUUUAGCGUUUAAGACGCAAUGUCCAUCUUAAACUAAUAAUAUUUGGGAAAAAAAAAGGAGGAAAUAAAUUAAACUCAAUUGGGGGAUAACAAUUUUCUUUUAAUUAGUAUGUUAUAUAUACAUUAUUUCAAUUAUACUUUCGAGUUUUUGAUAUACGAAAAUAUAAUGUCAAACUUUAAGAGCAAGAAUUUACAAAAUGAGAACGACUUUUUUUUAAAAUAUAAUGUCCAAACUUUAAAUGACAAGAUUUACAAACCAUGAGACCGACCUUUUUUUUUAUUAUAACGUUUUUUUAUAUAUUAUAUAUAUACAUACACACACACAUCUAUAUCCAUAAUAUCAUUGACUCUUAUUAUAGAUAGGAAAGAGGUUUAAAAUAUAUCAUUGAAACUUUCGAAAAAAACUCAUGUUAUUCAUCAGUUUAAAAGUUUGGUCUCAUUUAUGCCAUUAACCUGUUUAAAAAGAUUCAUUUCUUGCCAUUAUUUUUUAUAAUGGUUUUCGCAAAACCAUUUUUAAUACGUGACCAAUUUAACUCGGCUACGUCCUCCCAUUUAUUUAAUUAAAAAUCAUCAUUCUAAAAAAAAUUGCAUUCAUUUUUUUUUUGAUUUUUUUAUUAAUAUUUGAUGAAUGGCAAUUGAAUUCAGUGGAUUUUCUUAAUUUGGGCGGGUCUUUUAUUUGAGUGGGGUUUUAUUUAUGUUUUUCUUCAGAAUUGAUAUCAAAAAAAAAUAAAAAAUGAUGUGGCCGAAUCAUAACUUUGUCACGUGGUGAAAAGGGUUGGGCCAAAUCGCGCCGUUAAAAACUAAUGGCAGAAAUGAGUCUUUUUCCUAAAUGGUAAUAACAUGAACGAGUUCAAACUUUUAACGGAUCACAUAAUGAAGAUCUUUUCUAAAAGUUCAACCGGCAUAUUUGAGCUUUUUCCCUUAUUUAAAAAAAGUGCUUACAUAACACUCAUUUAUUACAUAAAUAUUUCUAAAAUAUACCAUUUUUUCUAACGGGAGUGAAAAAAAUAUUUUUUUAAACAUAAUUUUUUCAUUUUUUUAAGAAAGUAAAAUCUUGAAUAUAUUAUCUUCCACUUUCUAGAAAUAUUUAUGCCUACAAGAUUUUUUUUUAUUUUUAAAAUUAAAAUUAAUAUUUUCACUUCCAUUAGAUUGAUGAAGAUAUAUCUGAAUCACUUUUUAUAAAAUGGUAAGGAUAUGUAUGAACUCUUAUUUAAUCAAAAUGUGAAUUAUUUUUAUAAUGAGCGAUAUAAAAAUUUUAAUUGCAAAGUUAUGAAGACUUUUUAUUUAGGGAAAAGGGUCUGAUAUACCCCUCAACUUUCAUUUAGAGCUGAUAUGGCCCUUGUGUGAAAGUGGCAUCAUAUAUACAUUAGCUUGUAAAACAAAUGGCUCACAUAUACCCUUUCCUCUAACGGAAAUGGAAAAAAUAAUCUUUACUAAUUUUUUAAUAAUUUUUUUGUCUAAAAAUUAUAUCCCAUAUGAGUAAAUUUAAUCCGUCGUAAAACAUAUUUUUUUUAAACCUUUUUUUAGUUUCAAAUGACUAUUUAUAAUUAUUAUUUUGGAUAAUCAAAUUUAUUUAUGUUUCACUAAUAUUCUUGUAAAGACUUAUUGUUAGAUGAACCAAUUUUUUCUUCGAUACCGAAUUAAAAUUACAAUACAGCACAAAAAAUAGUUUAAAUUUUUUCUCUUUAAACUAAGGAAUUGGAACAGAAAACAUAAGAAUAGAAAACUCAAAUAAUUAUAAUAAAAAAGUCAAAAAAUAAUUUAUAUAAUGAACAAAUAAAUAUCGCUGAACUUUUGAUAGAAGAAUCAUAUAUAUCCCUAAAUAAUUUUUUUAAAAAAUUAAGUAAUAAAUAUGCCAAUUUAAACUAAUUUUUUUAACUUCCGUUAAAUGAAGUGGUAUAUAUGAAGCCAUUUUGUAACGUGGAGGGGUAUAUGUGAGCGCAGCCGUUUGUAUACACGGUAAGGGCAAUAUAUGAAGCACUUUUAUAACGGGGGCGUAUUAUUAGCUCAAUAAACAAAGUUGAGGAGUAAUAUCAGACCUUUUUCUUUUAUUUAUUGUAUAAAAGCUUUCAUAUACUAGUUACAUAUUUAAAUAUUGAAAAUGUUGAUAAGAGAUACCCAUUAAAUGCUAAAGUAAUUGGUAUUGUUAAAAAAUUUCCUUUUAUUUUAUUGUAAUAUAUCUAACAUCCUCGUACUUCACUAACUAAGAAUAAAACUAAGAAUCAAGAAUAAUCAUUUUUUUUGGAAAUAAAUAGGAAAUUCCUGAAAAAUUUACCAGUUGUAAAAAGUGAGUUUUUGGUCAAUCUUCAAACGACCAUAACUCCCAGCUUAGGAGGACGUUUAGGUGUGAGUUCCUUAUUGGUUGGAAAUCCCUUGGAAAGAAAUUUCCAAACGCCAAGUUUGUACAUUUUAAGAUGUGCGUAUGAAGGAGAUAUGAUUUCGAAAGUUUUGGUUUGUUGGAGUGAGGAAAAUUCAAUCCGGAUUUAGUAGGAUAAAGUAGUCUUUUCACUCUAUAUUUCUAAUUCGUUUUUAAAGGGUUUUAUUAGGGGUAAAUCAAGUCCAUAUUCAGUUUUGAAACAGUUGAGAACGCUCAUGGCUUGGGAGAAAAGAGAGAGACCAAAUUUCUUCAAAGAAGCUCAGGUUUCGCUAGAGGAAUUCAUCGGGGGUGAUCUCUAUUCGAGGUAUAAUGAGUAUCUUUCUUAUGUUGGUCGUUCACCCCACACACCACUGUUUUAUUUAGACAAUUUUUGUAUUGAUUGAAUAAUGAAUCUUGAAGUUCUUGAUGAGCCAAUUGUUGAUCCUUAUUGGUAGAGUUGUAAGUGUCUUUAGUUGGUGUUGUUCGUAUUUUCAGGCUGUUUUACGAGUCUAACUAUUGGGUAAUGAGUUAGUAUUAGUGAUUGAUACGCUCAAACUUACUUUUUAAAUAAGAAGUAAGCAGUAAAUGGGGUUUCUAUCUCCUAAAUAAAUGAAAAUACUAAAGCGAAAUUAAGGGGACAACUAACCUUCGAUGUUGGAGUUUAAUCACUUAAUCAAAGUAACUAGGGUUUACGUGUUUCCCCCCACAGGUUUCAUAACUUGAUAAUUCUAAAUAUAACAUUCUUUUCUUUUCUUGUAUCUUGCAUUUGCAAGUGAUAAGUUAUGUAUUUCUAAAUCCUUGGUCGCGGCAUCUAGAAAAUUUUCACUCGGCAACCGGUUGGUCCGACUACGUGUGGUUUUCGCUAUAAUAACCCUUAUUAUUUACCUCAUAUUAAGCAUCCGUAUUCGUAUUUGACUAAGUUAUUACCCCGUACCAAUAAUAUCAGCCCUAUUACGAUAGUAUACACUAAAUUUAUUAUUGGAUAAUUUUUCUAUUUCUUCUCUCUUGGUCCGACAAGUAGCAUUAAAGCGCGAGUUCCUAACGUUGGCCAUCCGUUAAAGACUUCCAAGCGAAAGAAUUAUCAAUACAUGCAAGACACUAUUCUAGAAUUGUUAUUUUUACGUUGAUUUUACUCAUUAUUCGCCUAUGGUUCCCAACUACCCUAAUUAUGGAGUUUAGUUACCAUAAUCAUAAUCAAAUAAUUCCAAAUAUAUGAUAUAAGAAUUCAUGCACUUACUUCAAUGAGAAAGAGUUAAAGAUCAAAAGUUACGCUUGUUAUCACAAUCAAUUACAAGAAUAUAAAUAUCAGAAUCUCACAAAAAGUCCUAAAAAAUAAUCAAAGAGUCUAACAAUAAUCAAGGGCUAUACCAAUAAUCCAGAGUCUACCUCAAAAACGAGGUUUUUUCAAACUAUUUAUAAAUAAAACUAAUUACAUAAGGACUCUAUUUUGCUGGAAAUCUGUCAAACGCGGCUGGGUUCAACGGACCUCGGCGACGGAGCGUCGUGGUCACGACGGCUCCGUCAUGGAACGACGGACCGUCAGUGGAUCCGUCGUCCGCAUACCUUGAUGCAAUUUCUUAUGCUGCUCUCGCUCUUCAUUACCCUCGACGCAAGGUUGAUGGAUCGUUACAGGCACAACGAUCCGUCGAGGGUCUCCGUUCAAAACACUUGAACUCUUGGACAUAUGGGUACUGGGACUACUUCUCUGAACUUAUGCGAUGACUGCAGGACGGACCGUCAUGGAUACGACGGUGUCACGCAUUUUGUUAAACCCCACCCUUGGUCAGACUUCCCAUUUUUCGCUUCAGGCAGUGCUACGUUGGCCACCUACGGACCGUCACGAGCAUGACGGACCCGUCACAUAGGCAUGACGGAACGUCACAAGCAUGACUGGACCGUCACAGCAUGAGGACGGUCACAAGCUCCGUAGGUGGUCUCUUCUGCUAUUCUUUGCUCAAAACCUCCGCAUUCAAUUUUUGGCUAGAUUUCCUGAAAUAAGGAGAAACUUAUAUAAACAUUAGCAGCAAAAAGAAUUUUUUGGACAGCACUAACUUAAGGAAAAAAUAUUAAAUAAUACGUGAACCAUAGUAUAUCAGUGAUGCCUAAAGUUGUUUGGGAUAAAUCAUGAAUGUUUUGCAGGUUUAGGUUGAAAAUGCGGAGAAGAAAAGUCAGAAAACUCGUUGACAGGUCUUGUGGCAAUUCCGUGCUACAAGAGCCCUCAGGACAGACUCUUUCUGUCAGGCUCUGGCGCGCCGCCGUGCAGCUAGAGCGGCCUGAAGACAGUGUCUGUCGUCAGGCUCUGGUGCCCCGCGCCUCUCAGAGCGCAAGGGUCAGCCUGGUGAUUCCUUAUUCUCUCUCACCAUCUUUUCGUACGAGUUCCUAAGUGACGGUUCUAUUAUUUCUAGUUCGUUCCAAUAACUCUAAGUAAAUAUAAAACAUUAUGAAAUCAAUCCUAUAAUGAAUCAGGAUCGUGAAUUUUUGCAUAAUCCAAUCAAGGGAAGUUAAGAUCAAGUCAAAAAAGUUUAAGAGUCAAGUUAAAAGUUAUAAAAAACAGUUCAAAGUAGUUCCUAAAGCAUUCAAGAGUUUUAACAAACAUUUUACUUUGUUUUAAGGAUUCAAGCAUGAGUUGAGCAAAAGAGUAAAAGAGUUGAGUUAAAUUUUCAAAAGCUAUAAGGGAACUAGUAUUCCCUAAGAGUUAGUUUUCAAGUUAAAGCAAAUAGUAACAAGUUCGAGGUUCAGCUUCUCAAGAGUAGAAGGGAACUAAGUAGUCUCUUAACAGUUUAACAAGAAUGUUUUUCAACUUUUGAGAAGAAAGGAAGCUAAGACUUCCACAGAGCCUAUGAAUGUUUUAGUUAAAAGAAAAAGGAAACUAUGAUUUCUAAGAAAGUUUUUGAAGCAAAGUUUGAGAAAUUCAUCUCAAACUAGCAGAAGCAAGUUGUUUUAAAAAAACAUAUGAGCUAAGUAUUUUGGGAGUAGUAUUGAGCACGAUAUGGUGAGCGCGAGUUCAUAUUAACGUCAAGUCUCCAUAAACCAUUGAGCAACAUGGGAUAUAAAAGAUAUACUUUUAGAUGAUUCGCUUAGUAUUUUAGCAUAGAUAGUGUGAUCCUCUUAGUAGUUUCAAGGUUCUAUACGACGACAAGGUAUAGAGUGGUCCUCUUGCAACAUGAGGUAAUACGUUUGUAACCAUCACUUAGCUCAUACGAUGGUUGUCCGUUAGAUAAAUCUCUCAAAGAAAUUAUAAUACUUUCAAAUUAUAUGAGUAAAGUUGAGUUUUUUAUUGAUUUAUCUUUAAUGACUAAGUGUUUACCUGUUUUUUCAAGCUUUUCUUUUAAUAUCGCCAUGUGAUCCUAUACUGGCUUUAUAUUGAGUCGUUAUUAAUUGAAGUUGAGCAGGAACCAGGUAAGUUGCUUCCUUACUCCUUUCAAGCCUUAUAGUAGUGUUUAGGUAUUGCCAUUACGCAUACAUCGUUUGGCUGCAUGCAUAGUCUUUAAUGCCAGAAGCAGGGUAAUUAGGAUCAACAUGCAGCACUCUUGUUGAACCAGUUUGAGGCUCUAGAGUCAAGUGGUCGAGCCUCAUGCAUUCGGAGGAUCCUUUUUAUUGCUAUCUAGUUAGUUCAAUAGAUGUUGUGGGGUUUGUCCCAACAUUCAUCUCAGUCAGUUAGAGGGUUUCAUAUGACGGAUAGUAGUAGUUAGUUGUUCUCUUUUAUUUCAGAUUCUAUUAUUUGAGACUUAGUGCAAAUUUUGGCCAAGGACAGUAUUUAAAGUCAUUUUUAUGAGAGUUCUUGCAUUCUAUAGACUGAAUUAAGUUGAGUCUUCUGUGAGUUAAGUAGUCAGACCACGAGUUCCCUUGAGGGCGCAGCAUGGUCACCAGUGCUAGUCCAACCCAGGGUAUAAAUGCUCGGAGCAUGCUAAUAUAUGCAUUUUUCAUAUACGACUUACGUAUUCAGAUACUUUUAACAUUUUGUUUAGAGCAGAAGAGUCUUAACUUAUUAUGCUAGGUGAAGUAUUGAUAUAUUGGGAUAUUGGUACUUAUUAUUAUGUUUACUUUAAUCUUAUUUAUAAGUUACAACACACGUAAGCACACACAAGGUGCUCAACAUGUGUGCUUGAAGUAAAAUUAAUUUUGAAUGAGGUUUAAUUUGGUCUUUUAUAUAAUACUCAAUGAUUUUCGCUUUUUUACCAACUUUUAAAACACACUUGUAAAAAUGCAAAAUUGCUUUUAUGGACAUCAAAUGACCAAAAACCGCGCGAGUAUCCUUUAACCUCAUUGUAUAUGUUAUAGAACAUUGCAAUUGGUUGAAACUGAACUUUAAAUGUAAGUUGCAAUUUAUUAUUUUUCUUCUUGUCUAAAACUGCCCUAUGCGGCUUAAGCUUUAUUUUUAUCAACUAUUUGUUUAUUAGUGGAGAAAUAGCUCUUUAGAUGAGUCCUUUUAAGCGGUACCGCGAGCUAGGAUAUUAAUAUAUGUCUUUUCGUUUUAUUUUAUGUCAUUUGUUACUAAAAAUAGGUAAUAUUAAUAUUUAUCAUUUCACAAGUAAUGGUAAUCAUUAUAUAGUAAUGAAAUCGACGUCUCUGAACUCUGUGACGGACGUCAGGUACGACGAACGUCGUGAGCCCGUUUCAAAACACUUCAACUCUUGAGAAUUUUGGUACAGGGAACGAUUCUCCUGAAACGUCAUGACGGAGGUGCAGGACGGACCGUCGAGGUCGAUGGCCGUCACAGAUCCUUAAGUGAAUCGAAGUCCUUUGACGAACCUGCAUGACGGCCGUCGCAGGCACGACGGGCCCGUGCGCAGGUUGGCAUCAGUCUAAGGUCAGAUUUCUUUACACAUUUUAAGGGACGUUUUUGACUAUUCCUUCUUUAAUUUAAAGUUAGUGGUUAAUGUUAAUUAAGUUAAUUACUUGGGUUGGUUAAAGGGUUAAACCUCAAGUUUAAAUUAGUGGGUUAUUAUUGCAUCUUUCAUUCUUAAUUAUAUACUAAUUGGUAAAAGAAAGGGGUUUUGAAUAAAGAAAAUAGAAGAACACAUAAGAGGAGGGGAGAUAUCGAACGAGAAGGGAUAAAAGAAGAGGAGAACACAAAGCUUGGGAAAUUGGCUUGCUUGGAUUUCUUGUUUCGGUGGAGGUAGGUUUUGGUUUUCAUGGCCUAUUCGUAGUAAACUUUAAUAGCGAAUGAUUGUGUUAGUAGUAUUGUAAACCCUUCUAAUUGCUUAAUUGUAAUGCUUGCCAUGAAUGAUGUGAUUAUCGGAAUUAUUGAAUAAAUAAGCAUGAUGAAGUUAUGGAAUCCGCAAUCUUGAAAAGAACCCUAAUUACUUUGUUAUGAUGAUGCCUGGUAAUAAAAGAAGGCUUGAUGAAGCGAAAGGGGUGAGAACAUAAAUCAAAUGGAGUGAGCUCAAAUUUAGUGAAUUUUUUUUUAAAAAAUAUUUUGUUGUUUAACAAUUUUUAAAAUGAAAAUGCUAAACCUUUUUCACAAUUAUGUUUUAUAGUUUUUUUAUCAAUAUCUAGUCGAUGAUAACCAUAAUUUUAAUAUAAAUAAUAUAAUAAGGUAACUUAAUUCUGAAAUUCAAGUAUUGAUAUUUUUGAGAAAAUAUUUAUUUAUAAAUUGUAAAACAUUCAUAAUCUAAUAUUUAAUAUGUUUCUUACUCUCAACGAAUGACACUAAUUCAUCAUGAUUCAAAAUUGUAAGAAGUAAAAAUCAAUACUAAAAAGUGCAACUCAUUAUUAUAUGAAGUUUAAUAUGUAGUUUAUCUAUUGUCGAAAGUUUUCCAAGUAUAUGAUAUAUAAUUCUAUGAUAAAUUAAUUUUUGAUCCCAUAUAUUUAUACUAUUUUCAAAUUUAUCCCGUUAAUUGAUUAUAUAUUUUCUUAAACUACAAUUACGCGAUCAUUAUUUAUCAAUUCUACUUUAUCAACUUUAUAUUCUUCUUUUUAUAUCUUUAGAAUUGUGCUAUUUUUGUUUUCUUAUUUAAGUUACAAUUUUAAAGAUAAAAUAAAUAUUUUUGGAGAUAAAAUAAGUUAAAUAAAAAACUAUAUGAAUACUUAUGUUGAAAAAAAAUAUAUAUAAUUAAAAAAUUGUCCUAUUUUUAUUUUCUUAUUUAAGUCACAAUUUUUAAAGAUAAGAUAAAUAUUAUUUUGAGAUAAAAUAAGUUAAAUAAAACUAUAUGAAUACUUUUGUUUAGAAACAUUAUAUAUAAUUAAAAAAAUUACAUAUAUGAAAGAUUUUAUAAAUUAUACUGGUUAUGUUGUAGUAGUAAUAAACAUAGAUGAACAAUUUGUAUUGUCAAGAGUAUAAAAAUAAAAAUAUUUUUCACAUUAUUAUUAUAUCAAACAAAUACAAAUUGAUUUUCAAAAAGAAUAAUAAAAUGUAUUUGUGGGUCACACAUGAAACAAAAAUAUGUGAUUCUUGAAAAAAAAAUAAUAGAUUCUUCUAGAAAACUAUUUUGACAAUUAAUUAUACAAUUAUAAAUUUAAAACUUAACCCAUAAAAAUAAUUAAAAUUACAAAAUUGUCAUUGAUUGGCCUCAUCAUGACUCUUAUGUAUAAUAGAAACUAGAUAAUUGAAGGCCCGUUCAUGGGCUCAAUAUAAUUAAUUAUUUUUUUCAAUUUUAAGUUAAAAAAAUUAUCCAAAUUAAUAUCUUAUUUUAUCAUAGUUUCUAAAAUUUUCUACUAUUUAAACAAUUACAAAAAUGUCCUCUAAGAUACAUUCUUAUCCUCUGUCGGACACAUCAGUAUCUCCUCUCGAAUACAUUCCUAUCAUUUCUUGAAUACAUCUUUAUCUCAUCCUGAAACAUCCAUAUCCUCUCUGGGAUACAUCUCUCCCCUUUCGGAUACAUUCAUUCUCUCUCGAAUACAUCCCUACCUUCUCGAAAUCAUCGUGAGCUCUAUGUCUGCAAGUUUCCUCAAUAGCAAUGUAUCACGAUCGAUGUAUCCGCAUGUGUUGAUUUAUCUGAAAUUAUUUAAUUUUAAAAAGAUUUCGUAAUUUGAAAAAAGUAGGAAUAUAAUGUAAUUAACUCUUUACUCUAUGACAUAUUUUUCUUUGUAGUCAGUUUCAAAAGAAUGAUGUAUAACAUAUUUAAAUAACAUUUUGACUUUAAAAUAUUCAUUCUAUUCUUAGUAAUAUUAUUUAUAGUCAUAUGAACAUCUAUGGUUUGUUUUAGACCAUGAGUUUUAGAAGUGUUUUUUCUUUUAAAAAUUUUCGUGUUAAGUUAAAUUAAAAUUCCAUAAACCGAAAGGGAGUGAGUACAAACUUUAGAUCAAUUUUAUAUUUAUAAAAUUAAAGUUUUUGUAACUAUUUUGUCUUUUAACAAAAUUUAAAAUGAAAUAAUUCACAAUUAUUUUUAUAGUAUUUUUUUAAAAUCAAUAUUCUAUCAAUAAUAAUAAAUUUUUUUUAAUUUAAAUAAGAUAAUAAAGUAUUUUAAUUUUGAAAUUCAUGUAUUGAUAUCAAUUGAGAAAAUAUUUAAUUUUAAGUUGUAAAACAUUCAUAAUCUAAUAUUUAAUGUGCUCCUUACUCUCGAUGAAUGACACUAAUUUAUAAUAAUUCAAGAUUGCAAGAAGUAGAAAUCGAGACUAAAACGUGCAACUCACUAUUAUAUGAAGGUCACUAUGUAAUUUAUCUAUUGUGGAAGUCUCAUUAGUAUAUGAUAGAUAAUUCUAUGCCAAAUUAAUUUUUGUUUUCAUAUAUUUAUACAAUUUCAAAAUUUAUCCCGUUAAUUGGUUAUGUAUUUUAUUAAACUACAACUGCACUCAUUAUUUCAUCUUUUUUUUUUAUUCUUACAUUAUCAACUCUAUUUUUUUAUCUCUUUAGAAUUGUGAUACUUUUGUUUUCUUAUUUAAAUCACAAUGUUUUAAAGAUAAAACAAAUUUUAUUUUGGAGAUUAAAUAAAUAUUAUUUUGAAGAUAAAAUAAAAAAAAGAUUUACUAACCUACAACCAGGAAGAUCCACUUUGAAACCCAGCGACGAAGAAAACUUUGAAACUCUUAGCCGCGAAAUGAGGGUGAAAGAGUAAAAUCAUUUCUGGAAAAUAAUGAAACGAGGGGGAAAAAAGCGUAAUAAAGAUUUAAGGAAUUAGUCUAUGUGGUAGUGGACCCUAUUGACAUGCAAUAUGGAAUUCACAUAGCAUUUAACAACUUCUCUUAAUUAGAAGGGCAAUUUUGACCCAAUAGUUUCACGGAAAGGGUACUUUUGAGCCGAAAUAUACUUUAAGGGUAAAUAUGAGUUAUUUCAGAUAGUUUAAAAGUAUUUUUUACCCUUUUACUUUUAGUCUACGUGGUAGUGGAACCCUAUUGACGUGCAAUGUGAUGGCAUUUAACAACUUCCAUUAAUAAGAAUUGCACUUUUGACACAAUAGUUUGACGGGGAGGAGAGUUUUGAGCGGAAAUAUAAUUUAAGGUAAAUAUGAAAUAUUUCAGAUAGUUUAAGGAUAUCUUUGACCCUUUUAUGUUAAAACUAUAUGAAUACUUAUGUCUAAAAAACAUUGUAUAAAAUUAAAAGGAAAUUAAAUCAUGGAAGAUGGUAGGUUAUACUGAAUAUGUUGUAGUAACAACAAACAUAUAUAAACUAUUAAGUUGUAUAAAUAUUUUUUAUUUAUUAUAAUCAAACAAAUAAAAGUUAAUUUUUAAAAAUUAAAUAAAAUGAUUACAUGGAGUCACCAUGAAACAAAACUUUUUGUGACUCUUGAAAAAGAUUAUUGGAUACUUCUAGAAAAUUAUUUUGACCACUGAUUAUGCAAUUAUAAAGUUGUAAUUUUGCCCAUAAAUAAUGUUUAAAAUUACAAUAUUGUCAUUGGUCAUCCUAAUCAUGACUCUUCUAUAUAAUAGAAAUAAUAAUAACUAGAUAUCAGGUGCCCGUGCUAACGCAAACGCAACGUAUGUUAGAUUUUUCUUCUUCCAAUUUAUGUGACAAAAAUGAAAUUUGAAAAAAAUGAACUAAAUUUUUUAUAUGUGUUUUUUUUAAAAAUAUUUUAAAUUAUUAAUUUAUGUAUCUUUUUUGUCAUUUUCGAAUAAUAUAUGUUACUUUAUCUAUUUUAUUUUAUAUGAUACAAGUGAUUUUAGGAAAGUAAACGAAAUUUCUUAUAUGAUUUUCAUAUAUUUUUAGUUGUCAUUUUACUGCGAUUCAUAGUACUUUUUAGUUAUUACGUUAUUUUCAAACAAUAUAUGCAACUUUUUUUUUGUUUCAAUAAAAAUAAGGGAGUCAACAAAAUUUCAUUAUGUUUUUUCAACUACAUUUUUCUAAAAAUAUUUUAAAUUGUUACAUUGCUUUUUAAAGUUUUUUUAAAUGUAACUUUCAAAUAUGUAACAAAUUAGAAAUUAAAACGAAGAAUUAAAGUUUUCAAAUCAUUAUAUUUCUAUAUUAGAAUAUUAAAACCUUUAAAACUACAUAUAUAUGCAUAAAUUAGUAGAAGGAAGCCUAACAACUUAUUUUUAAAAAAAUAUAUGAGAGCUCAUUUUAAUAGUAAUACAUACAUAUUUCAUUUUUCAAUAUCCGAAUCCCUCCUUUUCGAUUUAUAUAAAUUUAAUUUAAUUUAAUUUUUAUUUUGUUUCAAAAAGAAAAUAACUUCUGAAUUUUAUUUGUUUAUAAAGCAUAUUUAAGAUCACAAAAUCAAAAAAAAAUUUCAAUUCACAAAAUUUAAAUAUACAUAUAAAUUUUAAUUUUAAUUUUGAUUGGUUCCACCUAAUAUUAUACUUGAUAUAUAAUUAUUAAGAGCUAAGCGUAAUCAUUAUCUAUUUACUUUCGUAUAAUAAAUAGAUAUCACAAUAACUCUUAAAAAAUGAAGAAAUAACGAAAAUGAGGUAAUACUAAUAAUAAUCACUAAAGAUUUUCUAGAACUAGUUAAAUUUCUUGUUAUCAAUCGUGUUAGUUUUUUGCUUGCAUAAAUUACAUUUUUACCUUCGAUCAUCAUUCACUUCAUAUAUAGAAAGAUGUUUCUAGAAUUAUUUAUUCUUGAUAAAUUUUUGUUAGAAUGAAAUUACAUUUUAUUCUUAGUCGUCUUUAAUACAAAGUAUCAUCCUAUUCAUUUUUUAUUUGUCAAGUUACUUUUUAAGAUCUUUUUCUUUAAUUUCAGUCUAAUAUAUAUUAUUAAUUUAUCACACUUAUUUAUUUUCAAGUAUAUUAUUAGAGUCAAAAUAAAGAUGAAAAUAAUUAAUUCAUGAUAACUUUUUAUAUAAAAAGUAGGCAUAUAUUAUAAGCAUAAUGAAUAGAAAAAAAUAUUAAGAAUUAAUUUAAAGUAAUAGUAAAGUAGAGUAAUUAUAAAAUAGAUAUCACAAUAACUCACAAAAGAAAAGAAAGUGAAGUGAUAACAAAAUAAGUUAAUGGUAAUAAUAAUAACUUAAAAUAUUUCUAGAACUAUUAUUUUUAUUUUUUUUUGUUAUCAUUCUUCAUAGAUUUUUGUUAGCAUGAAAUUAUAUUUUUGCUGUAACGACCUAUUUAGUCGUUUGGAGCAGCAGAGUUAAUUUCUGAAAAUCACUGUCUGGGUCGACGGAUCCCACGACAGACCGUCAUGGGCACGACGGACCGUCGAGGGUGUCUCGUGCCAAAACACUUAGAAUUUAGAAAUUUGGGUACUGAGAUCGACUCUCUGAACUUCACGACGAAAUGGCAGGACGGACCGUUGAGGGCUCGACGGACCGUCACAAAUCCUUCCGCAGAAUUAACUCUCUGAACCUUGUGACGGACGUGCAGGACGGACCGUCACAGGCUGCGUGACCCUGACUGGGUCGGAUUUCUGUUAAAUAUUUUAAGGGGCGUUUUGGACUAUUCCUACUUAUAAUUAUAAAGUUAGUGGUUUAAUGUUAAUAAUUUAAUUACUUGGGGGUUAAAAGAGAGAACCUUGAAACAAAUAGUGGGAUAUUUUAUCAUCUUUUAUACUUAAUUAUAUGCUAAUUAGGGUAAAAGAAAGAGGGUUUGAAUAAGAAAAAGAAAAAGAACAGAGAGAGAGGGAGAAACGAUCGAUUGAGAGAGAAGAAGAACGCAGCUUUGGGAAAGUAGAUUGCUUGAUCACAAUCCUUCGGUGGAGGUAGGUUAUGGUUUAUGCUAUUCGUAGUAAACUCUUAAUAGCGAAUGAUAUGUAUUGGGUAGUGUUGUAAACCCUUCUAUAUGCUUAAUUGUAUGCUUGCAUGAAUGUGAUUAUAUAAUUGUGAUAAAAUAAGCAUGAUGAAGCUAUUGAAUCCUAAAUCUUGAAAAUCCUAAUCUACUUUGUUAAUGAUGAUGCCUUGGUAUAAAAGAAGGCUUGAUGAACGAAAGUAGUAAGAUUAGGGGAUCGGAGUGUCACGUUCCGACACCAGGAUAGUAUAUGGAUCGGGUGCCACGUUCCGGUACCAGGAUAGUAUAUGAGGAUCGGAGUGUCACGUUCCGACACCAGGAUAGUAUAUGGAUCGGGUGCCACGUUCCGGUACCAGGAUAGUAUAUGAGGAUCGGAGUGCCACGUUCCGGUACAAGGAUAGUAUAUGAGGAUCGGAGUGUCACGUUCCGACACCAGGAUAGUAUAUGGAUCGGGUGCCACGUUCCGGUACCAGGAUAGUAUGAUGAGGAUCGGAGUGUCACGUUCGGACACCAGGAUAGUAUAUGGAUCGGGGUGUCACGUACCGACACGAGAGAAAUAAAGAUAAUGAAUCUUGAAAGAUGUUAAUAUACUCAAUUUAAUGAACCUAAUUCCCAAAUGAGUAUGAUGGGGAGGCGUGAGUCCUCAUUGAUGUGCUUGGUGUUGUGACCAAGAGUUAUGAUAAUUAUAAAUGCCGCAUGUUGAGUAUUGUAGUUGAUUUUAUGAUAUAUAUCAUAUUAUCUGAUAUAUACUAUUUUCUAUUUUGAGUUGGCCGAUGAUAUCUACUCAGUACUCGUGUUUUGUACUGACCCCUACUUGUAAUUGUUUUUCUUUGUUAUUUGUGGAGUGCAGCAAACGUACCGUCGUCUUCAACUCAACCGCAACUCUAGCCAGUCUUCAUUACACCGGAUUUCAGGGUGAGCUAACGCUUCUAGCUUGGACUGGAUCUUCUUCUUCAUGUCUUGAUGCCUUGAAGUUCCGGCAUGGACUAGCUUUUUAUUUAUUCUAGCUUUCUAGAUACUCUUAGAAUUAGUAAUUUAAGGAUAGAUGUUCUUGUGAUGAUGACUUCCAGAUUUUGGGAAUAAUAAGUAUUGAGUUUUUAGAAGUUAUUUAACCGAUUUUCAUUAAUGAGUUUAAGUCUUCCGCAUUAUAUUCUGUUUAUUAUGGUUCAAAUGUUGGGGUUUAGAUUGGUUGGUUCGCUCACAUAGGAGGGUAAGUGUGGGUGCCACUCGCGGCCCGCUUUGGGUCGUGACAUUUGCCCUUGAUUAUUAUUUACUUCAUAUAUAGAAAGAUGUUUCUAGUAUUAUCAAUUAUCUUGCUUAAUAGAUUUUUGUUAGCGUGAAAUUACAUUUUUGCCCUUAAUCGUCCUCCCACUUCACUCUUCUAUAUAAUUGAAUAGAAAUACAUUAUAUAAAAUAAAUAUUUAUAAAUGAUUAUAAGUUUUCUAUAUCCUUUUUAUAGUGAUUAAUUUACAAUAGGUAAAUGGAUAUGUAUGGGUAAUAAAAUAUAUAUGAGAAUAGUAAUUUAAUUGUGAUAUAUGGCAAAUUCAUCAAAUAGUCAGUCUCUAAUAAUUUAUAUAUUAGUAGUGAAGUAUAAUGUUAAAUUUUAAACGAGGAUUUACAUAACGUGAGAAAGACUUCUUUUCUUUUUUAUUUUCUCAAGAGAUUUUUACAUUUUAAAAUUAGUUUAUAACUUAACAUUAAAUUACUUUAUAUGUAUUUUACUUAUUCAAACUCUCACAUAAUUACUUGUACAUUUGUUUAUUUAUGGUCUUCAUAUAUAACCCCUAGUAUAGCCUUGCUAAACUAAAUUUUGAAAAUUAUUACUAGUAAGGUGUUUGUUUCCUCACCUCAUAUAUUUACAUCAUAUGCAUAAAAAUUAUGUAAAAUGAAUAACAUAUUUUUUUAUUUAUUUUUAAAGAGACUAGUUAUUUGGGGCCGCUAAAGCCUACUUCAAAAUUAGCAAAUCAAAAGAAAGGAAGUGUACCUAUCAACCAAGUAAAAAUGUCAACUACUUCUAAAAAGUUUGGACAAUUUUUAAGACUAUGAAAAUAUAGAGACAUAGUAAAAUAUUGCGUGAAUCACUUAAUAAAAUCGAAAACAUAAUAUAUUGGAGAUAGUUUUACUAAAAAUAAUUUUACAAUAAAAUUGAAAUGUGUACAUAUUUAUUGAAUUGUGGGUAUAGAGACAAUUUUUAAGCUUUUUUCUGAUUUACAUAUAUUAAAUCGCGAAAGAAGUCAUGUGUUCUUAAUAAAAUAAUCGCUAAUGGCAAUUAUAUUUGCUGCUAAAAUUCUUCCUCUAAAUAACUUAAUUUACACUUUUAGCGUUUAAGACGCAAUGUCCAUCUUAAACUAAUAAAUAUGAGAAAUAAAUAAACUCAAUUGGGGGAUAACAAUUUCUUAAUUAGUAUGUUAUAUAUACAUUAUUUCAAUUAUACUUUCGAGUUUUGAUAUUACGAAAAUAUAAUGUCAAACUUUAAAGACAAGAAUUUACAAAUGAGAACGACUUUUUUUUAAAAAUAUAAUGUCAAACUUUAAAGACAAGAAUUUACAAACCAUGAGAACGACUUUUUUUUAAUUAUACGUUUUAUUAUAUAUAUAUAUAUAUAUAUACAUACACACACACAUAUAUAUACAUAUAUCAUUGACUCUAUAUAUAUAAGAUAGGAAAGAGGUUAAAAUAUAUCAUUGAACUUUCAGAAAAAAACUCAUUUAUUCAUCAGUUAAAAGUUUGGCUCAUUUAUGCCAUUACCGUUUAAAAAAGAUUCAUUCUUGCCAUUAUUUUUUAAUAAUGGUUUCGCAAAACCAUUUUUAAUACGUGACCAAUUAUAAUUCGGCUACGUCCUCAAUUUAUUUAAUUAAAAAAUCAUCAUUCUAAAAAAAAUUGAAUUCAUUUUUUUUGAUUUUUUUAUUAAAUAAAUUGAUGACAUGGCUAAUUAGAAUUCAGUGGGAUUUCUUAAAUUUGGGCGGGUCUUUAUUUGAGUGGGGUUUUUAUUUAAUGUUUUCUCAGAAUUGAUUUUUUAUCAAAAAAAAAUAAAAAUGAUGUGGCCGAAUCAUAACUUGUCACGUGUGAAAAGUGGUUGGGCAAAAUCGCCGUUAAAAACUAAUGGCAUGAAUGAGUCUUUUCCUAAAUGGUAAUAACAUGAACGAGUCAAACUUUUAACGGAUGACAUAAAUGAGUCUUUUCUAAAAGUUCAACGGCAUAUUUGAGCUUUUUCACUUAUUAAAAAAGUGGCUUACAUACACUCAUAUUAUUACAUAAAUAUUCUAAAAUAUACCAUUUUGUUCUAACGGGAGUGAAAACAAAUAUUUUUUUAAACAUAAUUUUUUAUUUUUAAGAAGUAAAAUCUGAAUAUAUUAUCUUCCACUUUCCUAGAAAAUAUUAUCCUACAAGAUUUUUUAUUUUUAAAAAUUAAAAUUAAUAUUUUCACUUCCAUUAGAUGAUGAAGAUAUACCUGAAUCACUUUUAUAAUGGUAAGGAUAUGUAUGAACUCUUUUAAUUCAAAUGUGAAUUAUUUUAUAAUGAGCGAUAUAACAAUUUUAAAUUGCAAAGUUAUGAAGACCUUUUUAUUUAGGGAAAAGGGUCUGAUAUACCCCUCAACUUUGUCAUUUAGAGCUGAUAUGCCCCUUGUUGUGAAAGUGGCUCAUAUAUACCCUUACUUGUAAACAAAUGGCUCACAUAUACCCUUUUCCUCUAACGGAAAUGGAAAAAAAAAUAAUUUUAAUCUAAUUUUUUAAUAUUUUUUGUCUAAAAAUUAUAAUCCCAUAUGAGUAAAUUUAAUCCUCGUAAAACAUAUUUUUUUAACCUUUUUUAGUUUCAAUGACUAAUUUAUAAUUAUUAUUUUGAUAAUCAAAUUUAUUUAUGUUUCACUAAUAUUCUUGUAAAACUUAUUGUAGAUAACCAAAUUUUUUCUUCGAAUAUGAAAUUAAAUUACAAUACACACAAAAAAUAGUUUAAAUUUUUUCUCUUUAAACUAAGGAUUGAAAGAAAAAACAUAAGAAUAAGAAACUCAAAUAAUUAUAAUAAAAAAAGUCAAAAAAUAAUUUAUAUAUGAAAAAAAUCAAAAUAUACCUUGAACUUUGAUAGAAGAAUCAUAUAUAUCCCUAAAUAAUUUUUUAAAAAAAAUUACAAGUAAUAAAUAUCAAUUUAAAACUAAUUUUUUAACUUCCGUUAAAUGAAGGGUAUAUAUGAGCCAUUUUGUAACGGGAGGGGUAUAUGUGAGCCGUUUGUAUAACGGUAAGGGCAUAUAUGAGCCACUUUUAUAACGGGGGGUAUAUUAGCUCCAAAUAACAAAGUUGAGGGGUAUAUCAGACUCUUUUUCCUUUUAUUUAUUGUAUAAAAGCAUUUCAUAUACUAGUUACAUAUUUAAAUAUUGAAAAUGUUGAUAAGAGAUCCCAUUAAAUGCUAAAGUAUUGGUAUUUUAAAAAAAUUUCCUUUUAUUUAUUGUAUAUAUCUAACAUCUCGUAACUUCAAAUAACUAAGAAUAAACUAAGAAAUCAAGAAUAAUCAUUUUUGGAAAUAAAUAGGAAAUCUGAAAAAUUUCCCAAGUGUAAAAGUGAGUUUUUGGUCAAUUUCAAACGACCAUAACUCCCAGCUUAGGAGGAGUUAGUGUGAGUUCCUUAUAUGGUUGGAAAUCCCUUGGAAAGAAAUUUCCAACAACGCCAAGUUUGUACAUUUUAGAUGUCGUAUGAAGGAGAUAUGACUUUCGAAAGUUUGGUUGUUGGAGUGAGGAAAAUUCAAUCCGGAUUUAGUAAGGAUAAAGUAGUCUUUUCACCCUAGUAUUUUCUAAUUCGUUUUAAGGGUUUAUUAGGGGUAAAAUCAAGUCCAUAUUCAGUUUUGAAAAAGUUGAGAACGCUCAUGGCUUGGGAGAAAAGAGAAGAGAAGAGAAGAGAAAACCAAAAUUUCUUCAAGAACGCUAAGGUUUCGCUAGAGGAAUUCAUCGGGGGUGAUCUCUAUCGAGGUAUAUGAGAUCUUUCUAUGUUGGGUUCGUUCACCCACACACCAACAUGUUUAUUUAGCAAUUUUUGUAUUGAUUGAAUAAUGAAUCUUGAAGUUCUUGAUGAGCAAUUGUUGAAUCCUUAUUGGUAGAGUUGUAGUGUACCUUUAGUUGGUGUUGAUUCGUAUUUUCAGGCUGUUUUACGAGUCUAAACUAUUGGGUAUUGAGUAUAUUAGUGAUUGAUACGCUCAAACUUACUUUUUAAAUAAGAAGUAAAGCAGUAAAUGGGGGUUUCUAUUCCUAAAUAAAUGAAAAUAACUAGCGAAAUUAAAGGAGACAACUAACAACUUCGAAUGUUGGAGUUUAAUCACUUAAUCAAAGUAACUAGGGUUUACGUGUUCCCCACAGGUUCAUAACUUGAUAAUUCUAACUAUAACAAUUCUUUCCUAGUAUCUUGCAUGCAAAGUGAUAAGUUAUGUAUUUCUAAAUCCUUGGUCCGGCAUCUAGAAAAUUUCACUCGGCACCUUGGUCCGACUACGUGUGUUGCUAUACUAACCCUUAUAUUUACCUCAUAUUAAGCAUCGUAUUCGAUAUUUGACUAAGUUAUUACCCCGUACCAAUCAAUACUAGCCUAUUAGAUAGUAUACACUAAAUUUAUAUUGAUAAUUCUUUUCCUAUUAUCUACCUCCUUGGUCCGACAAGUAGCAUUAAGGCGAGUUCUAACGUUGGCCAUCCGUUAAAAAGACUUCCAAGCGAAAGAAUUAUCAAUACAUGCAAGACACUAUUCUAGAAUUGUUAUUUUAGUUAGAUUUUACCUCAUUAUUCGCCUAUGGUUCCCACAACCCUAAUUAUGGAGUUUAGUUACCCAUAAUCAUAAUCACAAUAUUCAAAUAUAUGAUAUAAGAAUUCAUGCACUUACUUCAAUGAGAAAGAGUAAAAUCCAAAAGUUAGCUUGAUUAAUCAACAAUCAAUUACAAGAAUAUCAAAAUAAUCAAGAAUCUCACAAAAAGUCUAAAAAAUAAUCAAGAGUCUAACAAUAAUCAAGGGCCUAACCAAAUAAUCCAGAGUCUAACCUCAAAAACGAGGUUUUUCAAACUAUUUAUAAAAAAUAAAAACCUAAUUACAUAAGGACUCUAUUUGCUGGAAAUCUGUCAAAACGCGGCUGGGUCAACGGACCUCGCGACGCAUCGUCGUGGUCACGACGGACCGUCAUGGACUCCGUCGUCCCAUACUUGAUGCAAUUUCUUAUGCUGCUCUCUUCAUUACUCUCGACAGCAGGUAUGAUGGAUCGUUACAGGCACAACGAUCCGUCGAGGGUCUCCGUUCCAAAACACUUGAACUCUUGGAAUAUGGGUACUGGGACUACUUCUCUGAACUUCAUGACGAACCUGCAGGACGGACCGUCAUGGAUACGACGGUCCGUCACGCAUUUUGUAACCCCACACUUGGUCAGACUUCCCCAUUUUCCUUCAGCAGCUGCACUACGUUGCCACCUACGGACCGUCACGAGCAUGACGGACCGUCACAAGCAUGACGGACCGUCACAAGCAUGACGGACCGUCACAAGCUCCGUAGGUGGUCUCUUCUGCAUUUCUUUGCUCAAAAACCUCCGCAUUCAUCUUUGGAUAGAUUUCCUGCAAAUAAGGAGAAACUUAUAUAAAAAUUAGCACAAAAAGAUUUUGGACACACUAACUUAAGGAAAAAAUAUUAAUAAUACCGUGACACCAUAGUAUAUCAGUGAUCCUAAGUGUUUGGGAAAAAUCCAUGAAUGUUUUGAAGGUUUAGAGUUGAAAAUCGGAGAAGAAAAGUCAGAAAACUCGUCUGACAGGUCUUGUGGCACCGUGCCUACAAGAGCCCCUCAGGACAGACUCUUUCUGUCAGGCUCUGGCGCGCCGCCGUGCCAGCUAGAGCGCCUGAAGACAGUGUCUGUCGGUCAGGCGCUGGUGCCCCGCGCCUCUCAGAGCGCCAGGGUCACCUGGAGAUUCUAUUUCUCUCCCAUCUUUUAGUACGAGUUCCUAAGUGACGUAUCUAUUAUUUCUAGUUAGUUCCAAUACUCUAAAGUAAAUAUAAACAUUAUGAAAUCAUCCAUAAUAAUGAGAUCAGGAUCCGUGAAUGCAUAAUCCAAUUCAAGGGAAGUUAAGAUCAAAGUCAAAAAAAGUUAAGAGUCAAGUCUAAAAGUUAAAAAACAAGUCAAAGUAAGUUCCUAAAGCAUUCAAGAGUCUUAAACAAACAUUUUAACUUUGUUUUAAGGUUCAAGCAAUGAGUUGAGCAAAGAGUAAAAGAGUUGAGUUAAAUUUUCAAAAGCUAUAAGGGAACUAAGUAUUCCCUAAGAGUUAAGUUUCAAGUUAAGCAAAUAGUAACAAGUUGAGUUCACUUCUCAAGAGUUAGAAGGGAACUAAGUAGUCUCUAACAGUUUAAACAAGAUGUUUUUAAACUUUUGAGAAAGAAAGGAAGCUAGACUUCCACAGAGCCUAUGACUAGUUUUAGUAAAAGAAAAAGGAAACUAUGAUUUCUAAGAAAGUUUUUGAAGCAAAGUUUGAGAAAUUAUCUCAAACUAGAGAAGAAGUUGUUUUAAAAAAACAUAUGAGCUAAGUAUUUUGGGAGUAGUAUUGAGCACCGAUAUGGUGACGCGAGUUCAUAUUAACUCAAGUCUCCAUAAACCAUUGAGCCAACAUGGAGAUAUAAAAGAUCAUACUUUUUAGAUGAUUCCUUAGUAAUUUUAGCAUAGACUAGUGAAUCCUCUUAGUAGUUCAGGUUCUAUAUCGACGACAAGGUAUAGAGUGGUCCUCUUGCAACAUGAGGUAAUACGUUGUACCAUCACUUAGGCUCAUAGAUGGUUGUCGGUUAGAUAAUCUCUCAAAGAAAUUAUAAUACUUUCAAAUAUAUGAGUAAAGUUGAGUUUAUUAUUGAUUUAUCUUUAAUGAACUAAGUGUUUACACUGUUUUACAAGCUUUUCUUAUAUCGCAUGUGUCCUUACUGCUUUAUAUUGAGUCGUUAUUUCAUGAGUUGAGCAGAACCAAGGUAAGUUCUUCCUUACUCCUUUCAAGCCUUAUAGUAGUGUUUAGUAUUCCAAUUCGCAUACUCGUUUGGCCUGCAUGCAUCGCCUUAUAAUGCAGAAGCAGGUAAUUAGGAUCAACAUGCAGCACUUUGUUGAACCAGUUUGAGCUCUAGAGUCAGUGGUGAGCCUCCAUGCAUUUCGGAGGAUCCUUUUAUUGCUAUCUAGUUAGUUCAAUAGAAUGUUGUGGGGUUUGUCCCAACAUUCAUCUCAGUCAGUUUAGAGGUUUCAUAGACGGAUAGUAGUAGUUAAGUUGUGUCUCUUUAUUUCAGAUUCUAUAUUUGAGACUUAAGUGCAAAUUUGGCCAAGACAGUAUUUAAAGUCAUUUUUAUGAGAACUUCUUCAAUUCUAUAACUGAAUUAAGUUGAGUCUUCCGCUGAGUUAAGUAAGUCAGACCAAGAGUUCCCUUGAGGCCAGCAAUGGUCACCAAGUGCUAGUCCCACCCAGGGUAUAAGCUCGGAGCAUGCUAAUAUAUGCAUUUCAUAUACGACUUACGUAUUCAGAUACUUUUAACAUUUUGUUAGAGCAGAAGAGUCUUAACUUAUAUAUGUAGGUGAAGUAUUGAUAUAUUGGGAUAUUGGUACUUAUUAUUAUUUUACUUUAAUACUUAUUUAUAAGUCUACAACACACGGUAAGCACACACAAGGUGCUCAACAUGUGUGCUUGAAGUAAAUUUAAUUUUGAAUGAGGUUAAUUUGGUCAUUUUAUAUAAUACUCAAUGUUUCUUUUACUUGUACAAAAUGCAAAAUUGCUUUUAUGGACAUCAAAUGACCAAAAACCCAGUAUCCUUUAACUCAUUGUCAUAUGUUAUAGAACAUUGCAAUUGGUUGAAAAUGAACUUUAAUGUAGUUGCAAUAUAAUUAUUUUUACUUCUUGUCAAAACUGCCCCUAUGCGGCUUAAGCUUAUUUUAUCAACUAUUUGUUAUUACGUGGAGAAAUUAAAGACAUCUUUAGAUGAGUCCUUUUAAGCGGUACCGACCUAGAUAUAUAUAUUCUUUUCGUUUUAUUUAUGUCAUUUUUACUAAAAAUAGGUAAUAUUUAAUAUUUAUCAUUUCACAAAAGUAAUGCAUUAUAUAGUAAUGAAAUCGACUCUCUGAACUCUGUGACGGACCGUCACAGGUACGACGAACCGUCGUGAGCCCCCGUUUCAAAACACUUCAACUCUUGAGAAUUUGGUACAGGGAACGAUUCUCUGAACGUCAUGACGGAGGUGCAGGACGGACCGUCGUAGGUACGAUGGGCUGUCACAGACUCCUUAAGGAAAUCGAGUCUUUGACGAACCUGCAUGACGGACCGUCGCAGGCACGACGGGCCGUCGCAGGUUGCGCAAUCCCAGUCUGGGUCAGAUUUCUUUACACAUUUUAAGGGACGUUUUUGACUAUUCCUUCUUUAAUUAUAAAGUUAGUGGGUUAAUGUUAAUAAGUCUAAUUACUUGGGGGUUAAAAGAGGUAACCUCAAGUUAAUUAGUGGGUUAUUAUUGCCAUCUUUCAUUCUUAAUUAUAUACUAAUUAGGGUAAAAGAAAGAGGGUUUGAAUAAAGAAAAUAGAAAGAACACAAAGAGAGAGAGGGAGAAUCGAACGAGAAGGUGAAAAGAAGAGGAGAAACACAAAGCUUUGGGAAAUUGCUUGCUUGAUUUCUUGUCUUCGGUGGAGGUAGGUUUUGGUUUUCAUGCUAUUCGUAGUAAACUCUUAAUAGCGAAUGAUAUGUGUUAGUAGUAUUGUAAACCCUUCUAUAUGCUUAAUUGUAUGCUUGCAUGAAUGAUGUGAUUAUGGAAUUAUGAAUAAAUAAGCAUGAUGAAGUUAUUGAAUCCCAAAUCUUGAAAAGAAACCUUAAUCUACUUUGUUAAUGAUGAUGCCUUGGUAUAAAAGAAGGCUUGAUGAACGAAAGGGGUGAGAUUAGGGGAUCGAGUGCCACAUUCUGGUACCAGUAUAGAGAUAGAGGAUCGGGUGCCACGUUCCGGUACCAGGAUAGAAUGAGGAUCGAAGUGUCACGUUCCGACACCAGGAUAGUAUAUGGAUCGGGUGCCACGUUCCGGUACCAGGAUAGAAUGAGGAUCGGAGUGUCACGUUCCGACACCAGGAUAGUAUAUGGAUCGGGUGCCACGUUCCGGUACCAGGAUAGAAUGAGGAUCGGAGUGUCACGUUCCGACACCAGGAUAGUAUAUGGAUCGGAGUGUCACGUACCGACACGAGGGGAAUAAAUAUAAUGAAUCUUGUAAGAUGCUAAUAUACUCAAUUUAAUGAAACUAAUUCCCAAAUGAGUAUGAUAUUGAGGCUUGAGUCCUCACGUGUGAACUUGACGGUAUUUGUUAAUGAUAUAGUACUUGUUGUUGCUACAUGUUGAGUAUCAUAGUUGAUUUUAUGAUAUUGCUUAAUAUAUAUUGUUUUCUAAUUUCGAGUUGACCGAUGAUAUCUACUCAGUACCCGUGUUUUGUACUGACCCCUACUUUUGUGUUUUCUUCUUUGUUAUUUGUGGAGUGCAGCAAACAUGCCGUCGUCUUCGACUCAACAGUAUUCAAGCCAGUCUUUACUACACCGGAAAUUCAGGGUGAGCUAAUGCUUCUAGCUUGGACUGGAUCUUCUUCUUCAAGUCUUGAUGCCUUGAACUUCCGGCAUGGACUAGCUUCUUAUGUAUUUUUAGCUUCUUAGACAUUUUUAGUUAGUAAUUUGAUCAUAGAUGUUCUUGUGAUGAUGACUUCCAGAUUUUGGGGAAUAAUAGUUAUUGAAUUGGUUUUUAUUUAAUGAGCUUAAGUCUUCCGCAUUAUUUUCUAUUGAUAUACGUUGAAAUGAUAAGGUUUAGAUUGGUUGGUUCGCUCACAUAGGAGGGUAAAUGUGGGUGCCAGUCGCGGCUCGGUUUUGGGUCGUGACAAACCUUGUAUCAGAGCAUUAGGUUCGUUGGUCUCAUCACACAAGAACGAGUCUAGUAGAGUCUUAAGGAACGGUAGGGGGGCGCCUUUACUUUUCUUUGAGGGGCUAUAAGACUUUAGGAAAUUCCAUUCUUUCUUAUCUCUUUCGUGAUACUACUUGAAUCCAAUUGGUAUCUAGGUGAUUCAAAUUGGUAUCUGACCAUCUUCACUCUAUUUCGCAGAUGGUUAGAACUAGAUCAACGACUGCGCCAACACCAACACCGGCAAGACAAGAAACGUCUGAGCCAGCCACUGGGGCUGUGGCUCAAGGAAGAGCAAUAGCAAGAGGUCGUGGUAGAGUUCGUGGGAGGACGUCCUCUAGAGGGAGAGGACGAGUACCUAGCCCAUCUGAUGCUAGGGCGGUGACUCCUCCACCGACUGAGGAAGUAGUAAGAGAGGGUGAGGAAGGGGAGAAUGAACAAGUGCAAAAUGAUGAAUUGCCACCCCAACCUACCCCAGAGAUGAUCAAUCAGGUUCUCGCUUAUCUUAGUGGGUUAUCUGAUUAGGGCCAGACACCUCCAGUGUUUUCUGCACCAGUACCUCAGGUUCCGGAGGUACAACAUGCGGCUACUAUGGCUCCUCGUAUGGAUGCCUCAUUGGACAUAGGCACGUUUCCACGUCUGACUACUGGGCCUAUAAUGACAAAUGAUCAGCAUGAACUUUUCAGUAAGUUCUUGAAAUUGAAACCCCCAGUCUUCAAGGGUGCUGAAUCUGAGAAUGCUUACGAUUUUCUGGUUGACUGUCAUGAGCUACUACACAAGAUGGGUAUAGUAGAACGGUUUGGUGUUGAGUUCGUGAGUUAUCAGUUUCAAGGGAACGCCAAAAUGUGGUGGCGGUCACAUGUUGAGUGUCAACCAACAGAGGCACCACCUAUGACUUGGGCCUCAUUCUCUAGCUUGUUUAUGGAGAAGUGUGUCAACCAACAGAGGCACCACCUAUGACUUGGGCCUCAUUCUCUAGCUUGUUUAUGGAGAAGUAUAUCCCCCAGACUUUGAGGGAUAGGAAAAGGGAUGAGUUCUUGAGCCUAGAUCAAGGUAGGAUGUCGGUUAAUGCAUAUGAGGCUAGGUUUCGCGCACUAUCCAGGUAUGCCACUCAACUUUGUUUCAGUCUACAAGAGCGGAUUCGCCGGUUUGUGAAGGGGUUGAGGUCAGAGUUGCGGAUUUCGGCCUUACAGGUAGCGGCUACGGCAAAAUCCUUCCUAGAAGUGGUAGACUUCGUGAUAGAGGUGGAAGGAGUGAAGCCCAAUGACUUCACCUCGACAUCGACAUCAAAAAGGUUUCGAAAGGGAGGUGAGUUUAAUGGUUCUUACCCUAGGGGAUAGGGUUUCGGAGGUUACUCAGUCCGACCGAUUCAGUCUUCACUACAGACUGUAGUUGGGGGUCCACCUCAGACCGGUCAAAACUUCCUUGAGAGACCUAUGCAUGAACCAAGAAAGUGCUAUGGAUGUGGGGAGAUUGGAAAUAUUAAGAGAUAUUGUCCAAAACAGAGUUACCGACCCCCAAUAGCUAGAGGUAGAGGUGGUUAUGGAAGAAGUCGUCAUUCUGGAGGACGCGGUGGUCGAGGUAAUGGUGGUCACCAAAACGGCCGGGGUGAUGGGCAAACUGGAGCCACUACAUCACAACAUGGUAGGGGCAAUAGACAGACAAGUAAUGGGGCUCAUUGCUACGCUUUUCCUGGGAGAUCUGAAACGGAGACAUCAGAUGCUGUCAUCACAGGUAAUCUUUUAAUUUGUGAUUGCAUGGCUUCUAUAUUGUUUGAUCCUGGAUCCACAUUUUCUUAUGUAUCUUCCUCAUUUGCUAAUGGUCUAAAUUUACGUUGUGAAUUACUUGACAUGCCUAUUCAUGUUUCUACUCCGGUGGGUGAGUCUGUGGUAGUUGAAAAGGUAUAUAGGUCUUGUUUGGUGAACUUUGUGGGGAGCAACAGUUAUGUAGAUUUGGUUAUCUUAGAAAUGGUUGAUUUUGAUGUAAUUCUGGGUAUGACUUGGCUUUCUCCGCAAUUUGCGAUCUUGAUUGUAAUGCUAAAACGGUGACGUUAGCCAAGCCUGGGACAGAUCCGUUAGUGUGGGAGGGUGACUACACUUCCAAUCCGGUGUGUAUCAUCUCCUUUCUUCGUGCUAAGAAAAUAGUUAGUAAAGGGUGUUUGGCUUUCUUGGCACAUCUCAAGGAUGACACUACCCAAGUACCCUCGAUUGAGUCAGUUUCGGUAGUCCGUGAGUUUUUGGAUGUGUUCCCUGCAGAUCUUCCUGGUAUGCCACCGGAUAGGGAUAUUGACUUCUGUAUUGAUCUUGAACCGGGUACUCGCCCCAUUUCUAUACCCCCUUAUAGAAUGGCUCCCGCCGAAUUGAGAGAGUUAAAGGCCCAACUUCAAGAGUUGUUGAGCAAAGGUUUCAUUAGACCAAGUGCAUCUCCUUGGGGUGCUCCGGUUUUGUUUGUAAAGACGAAGGAUGGGAGUUUUCGGAUAUGCAUAGACUACCGGCAGUUGAACAAGGUAACCAUAAAGAACAAGUAUCCUCUUCCUCGCAUUGAUGACUUGUUCGAUCAGUUACAAGGUGCUCGUGUCUUCUCUAAGAUUGACUUGAGAUCCGGUUAUCAUCAAUUGAAAAUACGGGCAACGGAUGUGCCAAAGACUGCUUUUAGAAUCAGGUAUGGGCAUUACUAAUUUGUAGUGAUGUCUUUUGGUCUUACGAAUGCCCCUACUGCGUUCAUGAGUUUGAUGAACGGGAUUUUUAAGCAAUAUUUGGAUCUCUUUGUGAUCGUAUUUAUUGAUGAUAUACUGAUAUACUCAAAGAGCAAGAAGGAACAUGAAGAGCAUUUGAGAAUGGUAUUGGAAAUGUUGAGGGAGAAAAAUCUUUAUGCCAAGUUCUCUAAGUGUGAGUUUUGGCUAGAUGCAGUGUCCUUCUUGGGGCAUUUAGUUUCUAAGGAGGGAGUGAUAGUGGAUCCUUCCAAGAUUGAGACAGUGAAGAAUUGGGUAAGACCUACUAAUGUGUCAGAAAUAAGGAGCUUUGUUGGGUUAGCUAGCUACUACCACCGAUUCGUCAAGGGAUUCUCUUCUAUUGCUUCCCAACUGACGAACUGCAAAAUGUUCCAUUUGUAUGGUCGGAUGAGUGUGAGGAAAGCUUUCAGAAGCUCAAGACUCUGUUGACUACUGCACUAAUUCUCACCUUGCCAGUGGAAGGUAGGAAUUUUAUUGUCUAUUGUGAUGCAUCCUAUUCGGGUUUGGGUGCAGUGCUAAUGCAAGAGAAGAAUGUGAUUGCUUAUGCUUCGAGGCAAUUAAAAGUGCAUGAACAUAACUAUCCAACUCAUGAUUUGGAAUUGGCUGCGGUAGUGUUUGCAUUAAAGCAAUGGAGACACUAUUUAUAUGGGGUUAAGUGUGAGGUCUACACGGAUCAUCGUAGCCUUCAGUAUGUCUUUACUCAGAAAGAUUUGAACUUGAGACAGAGGAGAUGGAUGGAGCUACUAAAGGACUAUGAUAUCACUAUCUUGUAUCAUCCGGGGAAGGCGAAUGUUGUAGCGGAUGCUUUAAGUAGAAAGGCGGGAAGCAUGGGAAGUCUAGCCCACUUGCAAGCUUCUAGACGCCCAUUGGCUAGAGAAGUUCAGAUUCUGGCUAACGACCUUAUGAGAUUAGAAGUAAAUGAGAAGGGAGGAUUUUUUGCUUGUGUGGAGGCAAGAUCUUCCUUCCUUGACAAGAUUAAGGGAAAACAGUUUGAUGAUGAGAAACUAAGCAGAAUCCAAGAUAAGGUGUUGCGAGGAGAGGCUAAGGAAGCACAAAUCGAUGAGGAAGGUGUUUUGAGUAUUAAGGGAAGGGUAUGUGUACCCCGCGUCGAUGAUUUGAUCAACACUAUUCUGACAGAGGCUCAUAGUUCAAGGUAUUCGAUACAUCCGGGUGCAACAAAGAUGUACUGUGACCUAAAGCAACACUUUUGGUGGAGUAGAAUGAAGCGUGAUAUUGUGGAUUUUAUUGUCAAAUGUCCAAACUGUCAACAAGUAAAGUAUGAACACCAAAGGCCCGGAGGAACACUUCAGAGAAUGUCCAUUCCUGAAUGGAAGUGGGAAAGGAUUGCAAUGGAUUUCGUGGUUGGUCUUCCAAGGACAUUGGGAAAGUUUGAUUCUAUUUGGGUAAUUGUUGAUAGGUUAACUAAGUAUGCUCAUUUCAUUCCAGUUAAGGUGACUUACAAUGCCGAGAGGUUAGCCAAGAUCUAUAUCUCAGAAAUCGUUCGAUUGCAUGGGGUUCCACUAUCCAUCAUAUCAGAUAGAGGUACGCAAUUUACUUCUAAGUUUUGGAAAACAUUGCAUGCGGAAUUGGGUACUAGGUUGGACCUUAGUACUGCGUUCCAUCCUCAGACCGAUGGUCAGUCUGAGCGAACGAUUCAAGUGUUGGAGGAUAUGCUUCGUGCAUGUGUGAUAGAAUUUGGUGGUCAGUGGGAUAGCUUCUUACCCUUAGCAGAGGUCUCCUACAACAAUAGCUAUCACUCAAGUAUUGAUAUGGCUCCAUUUGAAGCAUUGUAUGGUAGGAGGUGUAGGUCCCCCAUUGGUUGGUUUGAUGCAUUUGAAGUUAGACCUUGGGGUACUGACCUUUUGAGGGAUUCAUUAGAGAAAAUGAAAUCUAUUCAAGAAAAGCUUCUAGCGGCGCAAAGUGGUGAUGCGGUUUGGUAAGCAAGGUAAACUUAGCCCAAGGUAUAUUGGCCCAUUUGAAGUACUCAAGCGAAUAGGGGAGGUGGCUUAUGAGUUAGCCUUGCCUCCAAGGCUGUCCGGAGUACAUCCGGUAUUCCAUGUGUCGAUGUUGAAAAGAUACCCUGGGGAUGGAAACUACAUUAUCCGUUGGGAUUCAGUUUUGCUUGAUGAAAAUUUGACUUAUGAGGAGGAGCCUGUUGCCAUUUUAGAUAGAGAAAUUCGCAAGUGGAGAUCAAGGGAGAUUGUAUCCAUCAAAGUUCAAUAGAAGAAUCGACCAGUCGAAGAAGCCACUUGGGAGAAAGAGGCUGAUAUGCGAGAAAGAUACCCACACCUUUUACAGAUUCAGGUACUCCUUUUCGCCCUUGUUUUCCUUCUUGUGAUCGUUCGGGGACGAACGAUGGGUAAAUUGGUAUCUAUUGUAACGACCUGUUUAGUCAUUUUGAGCAGCAGACUUCAAUUCUGGAAAAACUGGCAAAAACGACUGACCCCACGACGGACCGUCAUGGGCACGACGGACCGUCGAGGGGGUCUCGUUCCAUAACACUUAGAAAAUAGAAAAUUGGGUACUGAAAUCGACUCUCUGAACUCUGUGACGGACCUGUAGGACGAACCGUCACAGGUACGACGAACCGUCGUGAGCCCCCGUUUCAAAACACUUCAACUCUUGAGAAUUUGGUACAGGGAACGAUUCUCUGAACGUCGUGACGGAGGUGCAGGACGGACCGUCGUAGGUACGAUGGGCCGUCACAGACUCUUUAAGGAAAUCGAGUAUCUGACGAACCUGCAUGACGGACCGUCGCAGGCACGACGGGCCAUCGCAGGUUGCGCAAUCCCAGUCUGGGUCGGAUUUCUUUACACGUUUUAAGGGACGUUUUUGACUAUUCCUGCUUUAAUUAUAAAGUUAGUGGGUUAAUGUUAAUAAGUCUAAUUACUUGGGGGUUAAAAGAGGUAACCUCAAGUUAAUUAAUGGGUUAUUAUUGCCAUCUUUCAUUCUUAAUUAUAUACUAAUUAGGGUAAAAGAAAGAGGGUUUGAAUAAAGAAAAUAGAAAGAACACAAAGAGAGAGAGGGAGAAUCGAACGAGAAGGUGAAAAGAAGAGGAGAAACACAAAGCUUUGGGAAAUUGCUUGCUUGAUUUCUAGUCUUCGGUGGAGGUAGCUUAUGGUUUCAUGCUAUUCGUAGUAAACUCUUAAUAGCGAAUGAUAUGUGUUAGUAGUAUUGUAAACCCUUCUAUAUGCUUAAUUGUAUGCUUGCAUGAAUGAUGUGAUUAUGUAAUUAUGAAUAAAUAAGCAUGAUGAAGUUAUUGAAUCCCAAAUCUUGAAAAGAAACCCUAAUCUACUUUGUUAAUGAUGAUGCCUUGGUAUAAAAGAAGGCUUGAUGAACGAAAGGGGUGAGAUUAGGGGAUCGGGUGCCACGUUUCGGUACCAGGAUAGAGAUAGAGGAUCGGGUGCCACGUUCCGGUACCAGGAUAGAAUGAGUAUCGGAGUGUCACGUUCCGACACCAGGAUAGUAUAUGGAUCGGGUGCCACGUUCCGGUACCAGGAUAGAAUGAGGAUCGGAGUGUCACGUUCCGACACCGGGAUAGUAUAUGGAUCGGGUGCCACGUUCCGGUACCAGGAUAGAAUGAGGAUCGGAGUGUCACGUUCCGACACCAGGAUAGUAUAUGGAUCGGAGUGUCACGUACCGACACGAGGGGAAUAAAUAUAAUGAAUCUUGUAAGAUGCUAAUAUACUCAAUUUAAUGAAACUAAUUCCCAAAUGAGUAUGGUAUUGAGGCUUGAGUCCUCACGUGUGAACUUGACGGUAUUUGUUAAUGAUAUAGUACUUGUUGUUGUUACAUGUUGAGUAUCAUAGUUGAUUUUAUGAUAUUGCUUAAUAUAUAUUGUUUUCUAUUUCGAGUUGGCCGAUGAUAUCUACUCAGUACCCGUGUUUUGUACUGACCCCUACUUUUAUGUUUUCUUCUUUGUUAUUUGUGGAGUGCAGCAAACGUGCCGUCGUCUUCGACUCAACAGUAAUUCAAGCCAGUCUUUACUACACCGGAAAUUCAGGGUGAGCUAAUGCUUCUAGCUUGGACUGGAUCUUCUUCUUCAAGUCUUGAUGCCUUGAACUUCCGGCAUGGACUAGCUUCUUAUGUAUUUUUAGCUUCUUAGACAUUUUUAGUUAGUAAUUUGAUCAUAGAUGUUCUUGUGAUGAUGACUUCCAGAUUUUGGGGAAUAAUAGUUAUUGAAUUGGUUUUUAUUUAAUGAGCUUAAGUCUUCCGCAUUAUUUUCUGUUGAUAUACGUUGAAAUGAUAAGGUUUAGAUUGGUUGAUUCACUUACAUAGGAGAGUAAAUGUGGGUGCCAGUCGCGGCUCGGUUUUGGGUCGUGACAGCAUAGAAAGCUAAGUAACUAAUUCAUACUUAUUGGUCAAAUUAAAUAGUCAAAAUAAAUAAAUUCAUGUUUAUUGAUUGAAAACUUGACUUCAAAAAAACAGUAAGAAUAGAAUAAAAUUUGCUUAAUUUCGUAAUACACAUAAAAUCUAAAAUAGUGACAUAUAAAUAUGAUCGGAGAGAGUAUAAGUUAAUUCUCUAUUUGUAUCAUACAAAUAGAGAAUCAAGAUUUUAUUAAUGAUUUUUCUUUUAUUUUUUGAUGUAAAGCGCAGUCAAGGCAGCGAUUUCACUUUAAUUUUUUUUAAUUUUCUUACAUAAAUCGCUGGCAAUUUCUCCAAUCUUUUUGUAAAUUUUUUUUAAUUGUGUCGUAAAGCGCUGCAAUUGCAGCGAUAUUUUUUUGCUAAAAAAAUCAAUAUUGUAAAUCGUCUAUGCAUGACUUUAUUGAUUUUUCUUUUUUUUUUGAACAAAUUUUUAGUGGAUUUUUUUAUAAAAUUGAAACUUCUUUUUUAACGUAAGAAAAUUAAAAAAAAUUAAACUGUAAUCGCUGCCUUGGCAGGGAUUUGUUGUAAAAAAAAUUUAUUUUAAAAAAGUGAAUUGUACAAAUUGGUGCUAUAGCAGCGAUUUUCCUUAGCGUCGGCAAACAAAAUCACUACAUCCUAAGCGAUUUUAUCGUUUUGGUUAUAAAAAAAUUCAUAUACCUGUAACGACCUGUUUAGUCGUUUUGAGCAGCAGAUUUUAUUCUGGAAAAACAGGCUGAGGCGACGGACCCAACGACGGACCAUCAUGGGCACGACGGACCGUCGCAGGGUCUCGUUUGAAAACACUUAGAAAAACUGAAAAUUGGAUACUGAAAAUCGACUCUUUGAACUUCGUAACGAAAUGGCAGGACGGACCGUCACAGGUAUGACGGACCGUCACAGACCAUUGGUGGAAAUUUGGGUCUCUGAACUUUGCGACGACCUGCAGGACGGACCGUCGCAGGCACGACGGCCCGUCACAGGUUGCGCAAUCCCAGUCCGGGUCGGAUUUCUUGAUACGUUUUAAGGGACGUUUUUGACUAUUCUUGCCUUAAUUAUAAAGUUAGUGGGUUAAUGUUAAUAAGUCUAAUUACUUGGGGGUUAAAAGAGGUAACCUUAAGUUAAUUAGUGGGGCAUUAUUGCCAUCUUUUAUUCUUAAUUAUAUGUUAAUUAGGGUAAAAGGAAGAGGGUUUUGAAUAAAGAAAAUAGAAAGAACAAGAGAAAGAGAGACAGAGAGUCGAACGAGAAAGAAGAGAAACAAAGCUUGGAGAAAAAUUUGCUUGCUUGAUCACUAAUCUUCGGUGGAGGUAGGUUAUGGUUUCUCUUACGAUAUUCGUAGUAAACUCUUAAUAGAGAAUGAUAUGUAUUGAUAAUAUUGUAAACCCUGCUAUGUGCUUAAUUGUAUGCUUGCAUGAAUGUAAUUAUAUAAUUGUGAUUAUAUAAGCAUGAUGAAGUUAUUGAAUCCCAAAUCUUGCAAAAUCCUAAUCUCUUUGUUAAUAAUGAGGCCUUGGUAUAAAAGAAGGCGUGAUGAACUAAAAUAAUGGGAUUGAUGAUGCCUUGGUAAGAAAGAAGGCUUGAUGAAUUGAUGGAAGGAGAUUAGGGGAUCGGGUGUCACGAACCGACACGUAGAAUUAGGGGAUCGGGUGUCACGAACCGACACGUAGUAUUAGGGGAUCGGAUGUCACGAACCGACACGUAGUAUUAUGAGAUCGGGUGUCACGAACCGACACGUAGUAUUAGGGGAUCGGGUGUCACGAACCGACACGUAGUAUUAGGGGAUCGGGUGUCACGAACCGACACGUAGAUUUAGGGGAUCGGGUGUCACGAACUGACACAUAGAUUUAGGGGAUCGGGUGUCACGAACCGACACAUAGAUUUAGGGGAUCGGAGUGUCACGUACCGACACAAGAGGAUUAAUGAAUAUUGAGGGAGCGGAGUGUCACGUACCGACACAAGAGAAAUAAAGAUAAUGAAUCUUGAAAGAUAUUAAUAUACUCAAUCUAAUGAACAUGAUUCCCAAAUGAGUAUGGUAUUGAGGCUUGAGUCCUCAUGUGUGAACUUGACGGUAAUUGUUAAUGAUAUAGUAUUUGUUGUUGCUACAUGUUGAGUAUCAUAGUUGAUUUUAUGAUAUUACUUGGUAUAUAUUGAUUUCUAUUUUGAGUUGGCCGAUGAUAUCUACUCAGUACCCGUGUUUUGUACUGACCCCUACUUUUAUAUUUUCUUCUUGUUUAUUUGUGGAGUGCAGCAAACGUGCCAUCGUCUUCAACUCAACAGUAAUUCAAGCCAGUCUUACUACAUCGGAAAUUCAGGGUGAGCUAAUGCUUCUAGCUUGGACUGGAUCUUCUUCUUCAAGUCUUGAUGCCUUGAACUUCCGGCAUGGACUAGCUUCUUAUGUAUUUUUAGCUUUUAGAACACUCUUAGUUUAGUCAUUUGAUCGUAGAUGUUCUUGUGAUGAUGACUUCCAGAUUUUGGGGAAUAAUAGAUGUUGAAUUUUAGAAGUUAAUGAAUUGGUCUUUAUUUAAUGAGUUUAAGUCUUCCGCAUUACUUUCUGUUGAUAUUAUAUUGAAAUGUUAAGGUCAGAUUGGUUGGUUCACUCACAUAGAAGGGUAAGUGUGGGUGCCAGUCGCAACCCGGUUUGGGUCGUGACAAUACCUUUUUGAAAUUUUUGUUAAUAUUUUUCACCCUUUAGCCUCUGUACUUGCAUGAAUUACAAUAUUCUUCCUAUUUUACUCUUGUGAAUAAUUAGCUUUGAAAGUAUAUGUUUGAUCAACCUAGAAAAACUAAGUGAAUAGUUUAUGUUCAUUAAUUCAAUUAAUUAAUAAAAAUAAAUUAAUUAAUAUUUUCUUGACAAAUUCCUAUUUGAUUUUUUAAUUUAAUUCAAAAUUUUCAAGUUCCAUGUUUCACUCUUUUCUUGACGAGUUUUGUAAUAAACUAUGUACAAGAAAAGCUGUAGCUAUAAAGAAAUCAACGUAGUACAAAAUUGAAAAUUGUAUUUCAUUAAGUAAAAAAAUAGAAGGGCUUAACAACAAAACAAACUAAUUAAAUUUUAACUUAAACCCCCUGAAAUAAUAAUAAUAAUAAUAAUAAUAAUAAUAAAACAAUACUACAACAAGAAUCAUCAACCACAUACAUAAUAAGAGAGAAUAGACAAACAAAAAUUUGGAUACAACGAUGAAAUAACUAUAGAUAAUACAAAUUUGGAUAUUCAUUAAACUAUAUAUAGUGAAUAUCCUGAUACUAUAUUGCCUAAUUCUCGUUUCUAGGUACAUCAUCCAUGACAAACACGCCUAUUGAAACCCUUCAUGGAGGCGUAUAUCGGUGCCCAAUCCUUUUAUAACGAGGCGUAUAUAAGUGCUAAACUGUAAUGUUAAGAAAUACUUUUUAAUUAGUUUUCUAAAUAUAAUUUAUUCCUUUAUUUCUUUUUGUGUUAAUACUAGAACUAGAAUAGAUCAAUUGAUGUUCAUAACAAAUUCCAACACCUCACUCAUAAUGAAAUUGAUCAUAAUUUAAAGUACUAAAUCAUGCUAAAUAAGUUAAGUAAGUAUUAGUUACAUGCCUAAAUAUUAAAAGAAAAUAAAAUUAGAUCAUGUAUUUUAAUUGUUUAAAUCUAUGUAAAACUAAAAAAUAAAUAUUCAAUAUUAUUGUCAUUCUUAGUGUUGAAUUGAUUCGUUUUUUGCAUUAUUAUUAAUUUGAUUUUUAUUUAAACUUUAUUAUAAUUACCAACAUGUAUGGUCUAUAAUCUUUAUUUGAUAAUUAAGAAUUCUAACUUCCAAACAUAAAAUAAAUAUAGUAAAAGAUAAAAACUGUGAAAAAAGUAUAAGAGAUAUUUAUUAAUUAUAUCAAAGUAAGUAUUUUUACGUAUAAAAUAAAAACUUUAAUUUAUAUGUAUAAUGUCGGGUUGGUUUGGUCUCGGGUUGAUUUAUUAUAGUUGAAACCAACCCAACCCAAAUAUAGUCGGGGUUUUUUUUUCCAACACAAAAUUGAGUCAAACCAAACCACUAGUCAGGUUUUUUUUCGAUUUGACUAGGUCUGCGGGUUUAGUUCAAUUUUCGAUUUGAUUUUAUACACUCGAUUUUGAUUUUUGUGAUCUGUAGUAAGAGAUAUAGAGCAAGUCUUUUUUCCAUUAAACUUAUUUAUUUUAUUUUAUUUUUGUAGGAAAGAAGGGGGACCUUGUAUAAUUUUUUUGAUUUAGAUUUGAUGUAUCUUUGUUAAAAAAGUGGGUUACAUACACUCCUAUUAUCAUAUAAACGUGAAUUACUUUAUAAUGAGCGAUAUAUAAAUUUUAAUAAAUUAUAAAAUUGAGGAGGAGUAUAUCAAGACUUUUUACGGACUUGCGUAUUUAGAUAUUUUAGAGAUUCUGUUAAUUAAAGUAGAAGAGUAGGUGAAUAUUGGUAUGUUGAAAACAUGUGCUAUUUAUACUCAUGAAUAGAAUAAUUAAGUAGUAUAUAAUUGUUUAGUUAAACGUGUUGGGAGCCGUGCAUGCAUAUAUAUAUAUAUAUAUGCAUUUCAUGACAUAUAUAAUAAUAUAAUAAUAAUAUUAUCCAAUCUCACCAUUUAUUUAAUAUAAUAUUACAUGAUAAUUAAGAGGGCACUUCAUUUAUUUAGGUGUGUGUGAGUGAGUGAUGAUGGAGUAGUCCUAGGUAAUAGUGACGGUUGCUAGAGAUGUAAGUAUCCCAAAAAUUGCUGCCAAAGUUUGACCAACCACAUUCUCAAGUAAGUUUCCAAUAAGGAUAACGGGAGCUACAAGGGUUCCUGUGGUUGGAGUCAAAGUGCAAUUAGCAAUUGGGAGAGGAAUCCUUGCAAUACAUGUUCCUGACAAAAGACUUGUAUUGGUGGACACUGCAGCAUUAAUAAUGCCUUGACUAUUUGUGGACACUUGAGCAAUCGUUGUGUUGCCACAAAUAAUCGUUACAUUUGCUCCACUCACUCCGACGCCUGGGGCAUUACUUCCCGGUACGGAGCAAGACAAACUCCCCAAUAUACUUAAAUUAACAACACGAUCAACAACAGGUGGUACAAUCGGUGGUACUUGACCACCAACAGGUGGUACAAUCGGUGGUACUUGACCAACAACAGGUGGUACAAUCGGUUGGCCAAGAAUAGGACUAAGAAUGGGACCAACAAUUGGACCGAGAAUAGAACCAACAAUCGGUAAUUGGCCAAGACCAACAGGUGGUACUUGACCAACGGGUGGUACAAUACGUGGUGCAGGUUGCCCCAAAAUGGGACCCACAAAGGGAAUGGGACCCAAAAUGGGACGAACAAUGAGACCCAAACCUUGAGCAUGGGCUAGAGGACUGAUGGUGAUGAUGGAAAGUAGAACAACAAGGGAAAC
rnacentral:lncRNA from 1 species